rnacentral:lncRNA from 1 species
UGACUGCAAAAAAUCAUGGUCCCAAAUUGAAGGUUGGUAGUUUGCUGAUCUCCUGUCAACUGUCAAAUUAUCAUAUUUGGCGCUGACAAGGCAUUGGACUGGCUUAUUUAUGGUAAUGAUUCUAGUGGCUGCUCGAUUUGUUGCAAGAGGAGGACAUUUGAAACCAUUUACAGAGGUAAACGAGGUUGAUGGAACAAUGCAAGAAGACAUUGGACAUACAGAUGUAGUGUAAGCUAGCUUACAGUUAUACUUGGCAAAAAUUCUCAAAUUAAUCUAUGGUUUGCGGUUAUGCACAAGGUUAUAUAUAUAUAUAUAUAUAUAGGCAGCGGAGAAGUGCAAGCGAUUUAUUUUUCUUAUUCAUUUUCCCUGAGAUUUUCAAAGCAUGUAAUUUGUAAGUCUUAGUUGGACAAAGAUAUUAUAUUCAUUAAAAAAAAAAAAGGAGUACAUCUUCCCUCUGUUGAGGGAAUUCUAACGUGCCAGCAAGUUCAAAUAUGUACAUUCGCUGGCAUGUUUUUUUUUUUUUUUCCUUAAAGGUAAGGGGGUGGGCAAGCCUAAAUACAGUUUUUACUCCCCUUAUCAUCCACAAAAAUAAACCCGAAUUUUGGUAGAGAUUACAGCUGCAAUGCAACCAACCCGACCACGCCCUUGAGGGGGCUGGCUUGUUGUAUAAUUGUUAUUUAUUUGUCAUUUUUUUUCGCUACAAAUUUUUUUAAAGAGUGUUUCUAUAAGCCAUAUAAUUAUAAUAAAUACACAUAUUAAUGACAAAAAAAAUUCAUAAAUUUAACUUUGCUUACAAAAGUCCUAUUUAUUACAUUAAAAACUUGUUUUACGUACUUACAUAAAAAUAAGAACACGCAAAGUUACAAAGAAUAUCUUAAUGUUAAUCAUUAAUACUCAAAAUAAUCAAAAUUAUAAAAGAAGAUAAAGACCUGUUUUAUUUAACAAAUCUAACUAAAACCUUAUUUGUUAUAGUUAUAAAGUACUUUUGAAAAAAAAAAUUAUAUAUUUCAAAAUAAUUACCAUCAAAAGAUAGAUUGGAUAGGAUAGAUAUGUCUCCCUCAUAUUAGUGAAAAUAGAUUUUUUAGCUCAUGCCUAAGGGCAUCUCGGUUGUACUACAAAUGUAUGUAUCUAAAUAAGGAUAAAUGCUCAUUUAGUCCCUAUAUUUUAAGAUUAGUAUCCAUAUAGUCUCAAAACAUCCCUGCCGUUAAAGUAUUGAUACCCCUACCAUUACUUUUUAUUUCUUUUGACUUGCUUUUACAAUAUUACCCUUUUAUAAUAAUUUUUUUGUGUGGACAUUAAUAAAAAAAUAGUAAUUAAAUUACAAAUUUAACCCUAGAAAAUUAAAAAAAUUAUAUUAAUUUUUUUGUAAGCUGCACACUUGGUAGUUUGUAUACAAUUUUUGACAAUUAAAAAUUAAUAUAAUUUUUUUUAUUUUUAGGGUUAAAUUGGUAAUUUAAUUAUUUUCUUUUUUAUUAAUGUCCAAACAAAAAUAUUAUUAUAAAAGGGUAAUAUUGUAAAAGUAAGCGAAAAAAAAUAAAAAGUAACGGUAGGGGUAUUAAUACUUUAAUGGUAGGGAUGUUUCGAGGUAUUUUUAAAAAUACAAGGACUAAAUGGAUACUAAUCUUAAAAUACAGGGACUAAAUGAGCUUUUACUCUCUAAAUAAUAUAUGUAUAGACUGUAAUAAAGGAAAAUGAGGAUUAACCCUAUCAUUUAGAUAAAUUAAGGGAAAUCCUUUCAUAUUUUAAAAUAGGUCCAAACACCCUACAAUUAUGACCGUAUUAGUUUUAUAUAUCAUUUUACUAUUCUAUCUCUAGUAUUGAUAUUAGUCAUAAAAUUUAAAUAUUUUGAAGAUAUUCUUUUAAGCAAAGUGACUUGUAUUUCCUUAACGAUUAAAUUAAUUUAAUAACAAAUUGCAAAUUAUGGAGAAAAAUUACAAGUAGGGGAAAUGACAUAAUUCCUACUAGUUGUAUAAAUGUGUCCUAAGUGUAUGAAGUCCAAGAUUCUAAAUAAAUCUCUGAAAACAUAAAAUAAAACAAUUGAAGGAAAUAUCCAAAUAUACAUUCAAAUAAAGGACAAAUAGAUAAUUGGACUAAAUGCAAUAAAUUCACCCAGACUACAAAUGAAUAAUAUAUGAUAAAUUAAAGAAAAGAAUCACUAUAGGAAAGGGAUAUAUAAGCAACUACUAACAAAACAAUAAAUUACACGUACUUGCAGCUAUUUGAUGAGAAAUAAUUAAUUAAGAGCAUUAAAUUAGCAUAAGCAAGUGAGCAAACAACAAUUACAAUGGCAACGGUAUGGCCUAGCCUAUGCUUCUCCAAUAAAACAACUGAUCGUGUGCCAGAUUAAGAAGCAAAUUAAAUAUAUCAAACUUGUUACAUUCAUUUAAACAAAUACUUUAUAUAAUUAUCAGGGGUAUAUAUGAUAUUUCCUCUACUUGUAAAUUGUAAUUUUUCUUCAUGUUUUUUAAUAGGUUAAUAAAUUUAUUUAAUUGUUGAGGAUAUAUAAGUCAUUUUGCUUAAAAAAUUCUCAAAAUAUCUAAAUUUUAUGACUAAUAUCGAUAGUAAAAAUAGAAUAGUAAAAUUAUAUAUAAAACUAACACCAUUAUAAUUGUAGUAGAUUUGAAUCUAUUAAAAAGUAAGGAGGGGUUUUGCUUAAUUUUCCUAGACAAAUAGAAGGUAAUCCUCAUUUUCACAUUGUAAUAAUUUCAAAAAAAAAAUCCAUUUAACAACGGUUAGUGAAAGUGCGUUCGAAUUUUUGCAGUAACUAAAAACAAGUCAGAAUUAUGUUAGGAUUAAUCCAUACAAAGAAAACAUCCCAAGUCCUCCGAAGUAAUAAGCAACACACACACACACACAAACACAUAUACACACAUAUAUAUAUAUAUAUUACAAUUUUUUUUUUUUGAUGCGAUAUAGAGUACAAUUUAAUAUUGGUUCAACUACAGAAAUUAAUUGUGCAAGUCAUAAAAAUUAAGAAUGAAGAAAAGGAAAUAUGAACUCAAACCAGAACGCCAAAUGUAGUCAUAUUUUUUCAUGAGGGAAUUCUAACGCGCCAAUGAAUGUGUUUAUAGUAAUCAACGAUGCCGAUAUUUGUUUAUAAUAGUAAUACAGUGAACAGAAACGUGCGGAAGCAUGUGUUUAAUAAUCAACGUUAUAUUUCCAUUUGAGUCAUAGAACACUGGAGAGACUUCCUGUAUAGCCUGACCUUACUAGAAUUUGCAAAUAAAAUGCGAAUGUAAAAUACCAAAACACGUGCGACUCUUCAUCAACAGCCUGUAAAAUACCACUAGAAGAGAUAUUUGCCCCAUUUCCUUGAGAUCAUCUGUCUCGAAACAAAAGAGACUUCAUUGACUUGUAGUCGAAAAUGACAAGAAGGGCAGAAGAGAAAUUUUAGAAAAUCUCUAAUAUACCAUAUCAAUUAUAUAAAAAGUAAAUAAUGAUAUAGUAUAUAUGCAUUUAUUUUAAAGAACAGACAUAUAAUUGGUAGUUAUAUAAAAUUUAAAUAUACAUUUUAUACAUAUAUUAAUUAAACUGAUUUAUGUAUUUUAGUUUAGAAUUUCUCACAACAAAGAACUAGCAUUCAUUUUUUUCUUCUUGGUUUUGCGGCAUCACACACUAUAGUGUAGCACAUGAACCAUAUGCGUAUGAAAAAUUAGACUAGUUGGUAUACGUAAUGUUAAGGAGUCAGAGCCUCUCCUUUUUGACACACUGAUAACAGAGUGCAACCGUGUGUAAUACACAAGCACAUGCGAAGUCAAAAUUAGACUAGUUGGUGUGGGGCUUGUUCAGGAAGCCUUUCUUUUUUUCACAAUAUGAAACAAAUUAUUAACCAUCAAAUCACAGUUUGAUAAGUCUCAUGAAAAAUGAAAAUAAUAUAAAUAAAUGUGACUAAUAUUUUUGUGUCUUUAUUAUCACGAGCCUUGUGGGCAAGGUCGGCUCAAUUAAUUGGGAGCUUUAAGGGAAUUGUUCAAUUAGACCUUUCAAAAAAUUUGAGGUUAAAUAUAUGUAUUAAUUUUACUAAAAAACUAUUUAUUAAAAUCAAAUUUUCUAGCUUUAGAUGUAAAAUUAUUAAUCAAAUUUUUAUAUUAUAAUUUCCUAAUAUAUUUUUCUUAGUAGACAUUAUGGCUAAUCCAUUUACUCUUUCUUGCGACAUUGUUAAUCUCAAAUAAGCUUUUAUCAAUUUUAAUUUUGAAAAACUUCUUUUUGCAUAAGCAACUGCUUGUAGUAUUGUUAAUAAUAUUCUAUAAGUAGCAUAUGCAUUUGGAAAAAAAAUCAAUUUUUUGAAAAUAAUUAAGUAUGUCAAGCGGGGUAAUUUUCCAACUGGUAAAACUUCUUUAAAAAUUCUUAACUCUAAAAACAAAUCUAAACCAUCUAUAUCAGAAAGCAUAUCAUGUUUGUAAAGCAUUUUCAAUAUUAACACAAUAAGUUUUUAAAACAUUGUCACUUAACGAUUGUAAUUUUUUGAAAUUAAACAAAAAUCCUAACAUAUUCUCAUACAUUUGAAAUUGUUCAAAUCUACUUAUUAUUGAAGAAAUAGUUUGAUCUAUUAUGUAUAUAAAAUAAUUAAUUCUGAAAGACUAUUCAAGAGAUAAAAUUCCUCCUUCACCGAUACUUUCAUCAAAAUUGUUUUUUCUACGAAUUAAAUGUUUUUCGUGAAUUUUAGGUUCUAUUUCCAUUUUGGUUGCAAUUUCUUUAGUUAAAAUCAUAAUAGGCACAAAAUCCAUUUUCUCUAUGGCUUUCAAAGAAAGAAAUAAAAACUUUAUGUCGAUCUAUGGCAAUAUAAAUAUGCAUAUGUUUUUUGCAAGAUCUUACAUAUAGAGUUAAUAGCAAAUAAUAUAUCAUACUAAAUAAUCACACCUAAUAUGAAAUUAAAAUUUUUCAAUUCAUAUGUUGCUAAACACAUAGCUUCACUCUUUAUUCUAGAAUCUUCACUAAUUUCUUCUAAUUCAAGUAAAGCAUCUCAUACUUUAUGGAGUUUGAAAUCUUAUUGCUUUCACACUUUCAAUACAACUUUCUCAAUGUAUGUGUCAAAAUAAUUUCACAGUCAAAUUGGGUAUAUUAUUUUGUGAGAUUUUCCAUCACCUCAUUGAAGAAGAAAAAUAAUGAAUAAAUAAGUUUCAUAGCUCCAAAAAAUGAAAUUGAUCUAGGACAAGAAUUAGCCAUGUUGCAAACCACUAAAUUUUGACCAUGACAACCGCUUGAUGUAUAAAAUGCUUUAGAAUUUGUUUAUAAUAUCUUACACCUUGGUGUUUUCCUUUCAUAUUAGAACCAUUAUUGUAUCCUUGUCCUUGUAUAUUAUCAAUGACAAGUUCAAAAAUUUUUAUUAGUUCUAUGAGUUCAUUAAAGAGCUCUUUACCAGUACAAUGGCAAACUUUUAAGAUUCGAAAAAAUAUUCUUCCAUUUCUACUGGAUUUGCUAAAUUAUCUACACAUCUUACUAUAGCAGACACUUGUUCUUGAUGGUUUGUAUCUGAAGUACAAUCAAGAAUAAUUGAAAAUUAUUUUUCUUCUUAUUUGUUAGGGAUUUUAUUAUUCCCAUCAUUGUGUCAAUAAUAUUACAAUUUAUUUAUUCUUUUUAUGAGGGAUUUGUCUAGUCUUGGGAAUUAAUUAGAUUAGAUUAUGUGGAAUAUGGGGGAAUAUUUUUUGAGGCAUAAAGAAGCAAAUCAGCAUAUAAGUAGGAUUACAUAUUAAAGAAUUCUAAAUAAAGAUGAUCAUUGUAUUGGUAAGUAUAUUAAGUAUUUAUGGAAUAUUAGACUCUAAAAAAAAUAUAUGUUCUAAUGAAAUACUGCACAUAUAUAAAGGGAAGUAUUUCACACAUUGAAGACUGAAGAAGGCAUUUCUUAUUUUAUAUUAGGGAAAUAGCCAAUGCAAAGAAUGAGAAGAAAAACUAUUUCGUCACAUAUGAGGUUUCAUAUCUCUAUAAUGUUUUAAUCUUCUUCAUAUCAAGCAUUUCAUUAGACAUUCUUUAUUAUUAUUUGGUUUUUUCGGAAUGGAGAGGUCAUUUGUUGUGUUGAGGGAAUCUCAAGGAAGUAGCAAAUACAAUUGAAGAUGAGUGGUGCUUGCUAAACACGAUUGACUAGGUAGAUUCAACAAGGUGGUGGUAAGAGCAAGAGAGAGUCUGAGACUAUAGAAAUUAAGGGCUUAUUCGGAUCAAUUUCAACAACAAGACGACCAAAUUUGCCUCUGGAUGCGGAUUCAGUGUUGUAAUCAAUUUUAAAAACACUCCCGAAAAUUUGUCCCAACAUUCGGAGAAUUUUCUUAUUGUAGUAAUGUAGGGCCAUGCCUGGUAAGCGGAUCCAGGCUAUAACAUAUUCAAUCACUGUUGGGUAUAAGAGGCUUUGCACACAACUCUGUAGAAUUGCAGAAUAAUUCUUAUUUGAUUCGAAUGCAAAAUAAUUGACUUAUAGUCGUACAAAAGCAGGGGAAGAAAACUGAAAAACAAACUACCCAUUUUCCACUCUAACAGAUCGUGAAUCAUGGAGAAGAAAUAUUUAAGCUAACAGUUACUUUCCUAAUAAAUAGGAUUUAUUUAAGGCAAUUAAAUAGCUAAACCUGAUGACUCAACAAUCACUGCUGCCGAACUAUCAAAAUGGGGAGUCCAUGGCUUCACUGUUAGAUAGUGCCCCAGAAUAGUCUAAGGCCCUUGCGCCAAAGCGAACUCCACAUCCCUCUCUGUUCUGAAACGAACAAGAUAAUAAUCAUUCUCAAGGUCAAUUCCAGAAAGCCCUUGGGUCGAGCUCCAGAUGGUUUCCAAGCGGUUGCGCAGCGUCCGGUAACCUAUGCGACGACCCAAAAGCUUGACCACCACCGUGUAUUGCCAUGGUUUCAUUAGUUGAGCAUGUACUUUUCUGUGAAAAAAAAAUGGAGUGAAAAUUGUCUGCACACUCAAAAACCACAUCUUCCGGUUCAACUGCCAAAUCUUCCCCGCUAUCAAAAAAUACUCCUUCAUCCACCCUUUGUGUUGACAUCAGUUUAUCACGAAAGGAAGGAGGCUGAGGAUUGUCACCAUCUUCCCCUUCAGCCUUAAAUCUUGCUUUGUUUGUGGAACGGUCGUCAGCCAUAGGUGGAUUAGGGUUUUUCUCCAUUUCAAUCUUUCCUCACAUUAGGAACUCAUUUUUUUUUAAUUGGUUAUAUUUACUUUUUGAUUCUUGUAACUUUUUUCUUUAAAUGCCACCGCUCUUAUUUCUAUCCUCAUUUAACAGACUGCGGGUUGCGUUUGUCACUGUUAGCUGCACAUUGCCAUUUUUCAUGAGUAUGAUUUGCCGUAUGCAUGGAUACUGAAAGUAUCCCUUGUGCUAAAAAUGCUAUGAACCAUCCUUGAAUAAUCAAGUAUAACUGCAUGCAGAACAAAUUCAGCCGUUCUCACGUUUUAGCUAGCAAAUAAUUAUCUUGUAGGAAUUAGAAUGAGCCUGACUUAAGUAUUUGCAUAUCCUGAAGACUUUUAUUCCCAAUAAAAGUAACAUAUAUAUAUAUAUAUAUAUAUAUAUCAUUUCUUUUUCAUUUAUAAACCUUGAUGAAUGAGGGAAUUUAUUUUAUUAUCGAAAAGAGAUCCCUCAGAAAAAAGAAAAGCGGAGGCCAACAUCAACUGAAACUGCACUCUCUGGGAAUUCGCAACGCAUCGUGCAUUAUAAUUCAUCAUCAGCCUUUGGUGCCAGGAGAUGCUGUGAAAGCCAUGUCUUUGUCCUCCAAGGGAAUGGGCUGAAAAAGCAAUGUAAAGCCGACAUCGAUAGUCUCUUGGUUUUGAACACCAUGCCCAUCUCCAUGUAGAUACAUAAAAUGGGACAUUCGCACAAGAUUCAAGAGGAACUCAGCAGUUGUUCGAGUCAAGGGAGAGUCUUUAUCGGCUGUGUAUGCAUUCACCUUCUUCCACAUCUGUCUCAUCAUAUCCUUGAUGUGUUCACGAGCAACUUCCUCCGAGGCACCAGUUUCAUGCAUGUAACACUGGAUUGAUUUCGGAACAUCCCCUCUCUGUAUCUCGUCCUGAUGAUUAUUGGGGAAAAAAAAAAUACAAUCAAUUCAUAUAUAGAGGAUUAAUUCAAUUGCUGUCGUCUUAAAAAAAAUAAAUAAAAAAAGACAUACCGAUGAAGUUCCCAAAUCAUCUUGCAGACGGAAAAUCUUGGAUGACCAGUGAACUAUAUCUGGAUUACUUUCUAGAAAUUCCAGUUCCUUCUUAAUGAUUGGAUUUGUACCAGAAAGAUAUGAAAUCGUUAUAAUUAAAGGGCCCGUUAUUGAUACCAAUCCAUUUUCCAAGUAUUCUUCCAGUUUCGGUGUGUACUUGCUAUGGUACCAUUUCGCCUCCACCAAGUAGGCUUGUAUUAAGCCAAGCCACUGAUGCACAUGGCACAGAAAAUAUACAACUAGUUACGGUUUAUAAUUUUUGAGAAAAAAAGAACAUCGUAAUUUAAAAAGGAUAAAUCAGAGGAAAGGAACAGGGAGAGGCGCCAAAUUAAUAUUUGACGUACUGCAUGUUUUAUGCUCAGAAGCAUAUCAAAAUCCUGUUGUUUGAGAACGUAAUAAGCAAAUUCAUUAACAAAGUUGUAAAGGGCAAGAAAACACAUUUUCAUAUAGCCCGGAAGGUGCUUCAAAGCAUAAUUGAUGUCCCACCUGCAGAAAAAAAAAAUCACAUAAACGGUCUAUUAAAUUGAGAAGUACCAUGCAGCUAGGUAGCAGUUGAAUUGUUAAUUUGCCAACAAACCUCGCAACAGCAUCAGUGAAUAUCUCAAGUUCAUCCAAUGUUCCAUAGACAUCAUAAAUGUCAUCAAUCACUGUAAUUAGGGCUAUCGAGAUUGUGAGCACUCUCCUGCAGUAGGCGAAUUGAGGCUCAAACGCGAUCCCCAUGCUCCAUAAGAAGGACGCUACCAACCUGUUCCUCGCAAAGCUCAAUUUCUCUCCAAGACCUGUAUCCUUCCACCACCUUCAUAGGAAAAUUAAAACGAAUAUUACGACACGUGAUUUAUAUAUCUGUAUAUAUAGAAUCAGCUUUCUGUCUGGAAUUCUGAAGAAUAUUUCUCUGAUACAAGCAUCUCAUUUUAUAAAGCACGUGACUUGUGGCUUUACAAUGCAUUUACAUAUAGAGUUAUCUUCUAGUUCGAGAUUCUUUAAUGCAAACGUUUGGAAUAAUUUAAUAUACAUUUAUAUAAAGUGUAGGCUGGUGCCUUUAUACUGCUGUAAAAGGCGGAGUCUGCACUUGAGAAUAAUUUAAUAAACAUAUGAUUAAAUUGUACAAGUUAUCUAUUCGAUAAAAUCAAAUCUUUGCAAUAUAUAUGAGUUAUGCAAUCAAGGCAUAGAUACCCUGAAAUGUCUUUAAGUUCUUCCUGGUAAAUUGCCUGCAAAGUGUUAAACUCCAACUUAGCGAGCUCAAGUAAAAGGUGGUUCUUGUCCUCUCUUUUCUCAUAAACGUGUAUGAACCACCUUGCCUCUAACAUAGGCACUUUCCAAUGCAGAGGGAGCUCCAGCGCCCGCUUCGCUUGUUCUGCUACAAAUACAUCCUCUUCCUUGCUGUUGCUGGUGAUCAUCAUUUCUUUAAGAUGCUUACUGGUGAAUUGCCAGGCCUCCUCCAUGAUGCUUUCUCCUUCUAAGCUGUAAUACGAGGCUUCAUGCAAGCUCAGUAUUCCCUUGAAAUCAUCACAAAUGAAGCCUACCUUGUCGUCUUUAAAACCACUGAAAACCUCUGCAGUGCUCAACCGAAAAAAGAAAUUAUAUUCAUCAAAACUUUUACACAUAUAUGUUAAUUAGAGAAUGAUUUAAGUGUCCCCAGCGGCCUUGUCGAGUUCGAAUUUCUCAGGAGAUAGAGAGUUAAAAAAUUGAUUUGGGUUUUGCCCACUUUUUUACAUUUAAAAGGAAUGAAUAAGAUAAACAGAGAGAUCGAUUCAAGUAUUCGGAUCUUGCAUGUGCAUGACAGAGUAAGCGAACUAAUGAAAGGUACCUUGAGAAACAGGAUAGCCAUGUUGUCUAAGAAGUCUGAAUUCAAGGGAGGUUGCAUACAGAUUUUCUUUUCUCCAAUUAUAAUCUUUAUUAUGGUUGUGGAUAUUACGCAAUAUGUUCCGAAUCUCAGGCUCAAAAUGAUAAGCCAAUCCAAGUCUUUGCAAAUUAUCAAUCAGCUCCAACUGAUCCAGAGGCUCGGUUACAUCCUUAAUCGCUGUCUUCACUUUUCCCUUCAGCUCUUCUGCUCGUCUUUUGUAUGUUUCAUCCUGUACAUGCACAGCAUUUAGUUUUUAGUUAUUCAUGGUCCUAAUUUGAAAUGAACAAGGGAAAUUUAUACGUAAUAAUAAUAAUAAUAAUAAUCAAUACCGUAUAGUUGCUAUUCAGUGACUGCAAAAAAUCAUGGUCCCAAAUUGAAGGUUGGUAGUUUGCUGAUCUCCUAUCAACUGUCAAAUUAUCAUAUUUGGUGCUGACAAGGCAUUGGACUGGCUUAUUUUUUGCCAUGAUUCUGAUGGCUGCUCUAUUUGUUGCAAGAGGAAGACAUUUGAAACCAUUUACAGAGGUAGCCAAGGUUGAGGGAUUAAUGCAAGAAGACAUUGGAUAUACAGAUGCAGUGUAAGCUAGCUUACAGGUAUACUUGGGAAGGAUUCUCAAAUUAAUCUAUGGUUUGUGGUGAUGUACAAGGUUAUAUAUAUAUAUAUAUAUAGGCAGAGAAGAAGCUCAUGUGAUUGAUUUUUCUUACUCAUUUUUUCUGAGUUUUGAAAGCGUUUAAUUUUUAAGUCUUAAUAGUACAAAGAUAUUUUAUUCUUUUUUUUGUGGGGGGGGUACAUCAUACUGUGCGAACGAGGUCAAUAUUGUACCAGAAGACACAUACAUCAUCCAUACAUUCGGAUGAAUGUUGUAUAAUCUUUUUUUAUUUAUCUUUUUUUUUCCUGCAUACAAAUUUUUUAAAGAGUCUUUCUAUAAACUACACAAUAAAUGCACGCAGAAAUAACAAGAAAUUCAUAAAUUCAAUUCUACUAAUAAAAGUUCUAUUUAUUACAUUAAAAUCUUGUUUUGUGGAGAAAUAAGAAUAUACAAACUAAGUUUAAGGAAAAAAAGGCAUACAAAGUUGCAAACAAUAUCUUAAUGUUGAGGACUAACAUCGAAAUUCUAUUUGUUACAGUUAUAAAGUACUUUUGCGGAAAACAAAUUAAUAAAUUACAAAAUGAUUAUCAACAAAAAGUAGAUUGGGCAGGUAGAUGUCAACUCAAAAGUUAGUGGGAGCAGAUUUCCGGGCUAUAUAGUACAAAUGUAUGUAUCUACUGUCUAAAUAGAUAAUGGAUUUUAAUGUAUCGGUAGAUUGUGAUAAUUUGUACAAAUUUCAGAAAACUUCCAUUUAACAACGGUUGCUGAAAGUGUGUUGUAAAAUAAUUUUAAUAUUUGACAACAAACGAAAGAAUGUUGUCAUAAACUCUUCAAUGGGCUUUCAAUUUCACAACGUCCUACAAAAGCGCGUUGUGAAAAAAAUUCUAAUAAAUGACAAUAGGUGUAAAAUCGUUAUAAAUUUUCAACUCAUCCAAUUCAUGAAUUAAUGAAAUUAAUCCAAAUUUAAUUCAUAACUCUAAGAAUUAGAUGUGGAUUUGACAUAAUUUAUAUCCCAUUGCACUUUUGCGAAUUCGAUAUCAAUUAAAAAAAAAUUCUUUCUAUCCAUUCAUAAAAUAAUUAAAUAAAUAUUUUAAUACAAAAAUAAUUUUAUUACCAAUCAAAUUCAAAUUUAAAAAUAUUAAAUAAAUCAAUAGUUUAAGUACUUGUUUAGGAACGCGAUAUAUCACCCAGCAUCUGUUAAAUCAAUCAACGUACGUUCCUAAAGAAGCAUAAUUUUGAAGCCAUAUACCAUUUCAUCUUUACUCCCUAUUCUUUCUUUAAAAAAACUAUGAAAACGCUGGAGUAAUUGGUUUCAACUUCCGUGUAGGAUAGAUGGGACGUGAUGACACGUAACGACCACUUCUGAAAAACCAUUUGUUUUUUAAGGAUGCCAUUCAAAGUUUCGAACUUUAGCCCACCAAAAGAAAAAAUCUUGAUGUUUUAGAUCAAUGAAUGAAAACUAACUUAAAUUUUAGAAUUAAAUCAAUACAAAAGUUGAAAAUUGAAAGCUUACAUAAUUAAUUGUUGUCAAUGUCCACCCUAACUAAAUUUUAACCUAUUUAUUUAUUAAUAGUAUAACAUUUUUAAAUUAUAUAUAUAUAUAUUCGAAUUUGCUGAUUUUUACGAAUUUGUAGAAGCAAAUCUAUUUCUAAUUCAUUGACGGUGGAUUUUUAAAAUUUUUUAAUCUAAUCCAAUCCAUCAAUCCAUGGAUUAGAUUUUUAUGGAAAUGAUUUUUACAGAUUGAAUGAAUGAAAUGUUAGAAAAUCAAUGGUUGAAGCAGGACUACAGCUAAAAUGAAUUGGAAUAAAAUAAAGAGCAAGCACACAUAGAGGACACAAAAAAUUACAUGGUUCGGUUUUUAGCCUACAUCGAUGGGCGAAGAUAGAAGAAAAAUAUUUUACUAGUGAAAAUAAAUUACAAAUAUUGUGGUAUUUUAACUCACUACCCAAAACCUCAAUACCCCCAAACUCUCAAAUCACUAAUAACACAAGAGUUAUUUAUUUUUCUUCUCAAAAUUUUCUGCAGCACUACCAUUUUUCUUACAUUUCAGUUUCUUGAAUGUCAAAGUCGUGUGCCGCCAAUUGUACUUCUUCAAAGAUGCUGCAGCCCUCUUUGAUUUUUCUUUGUUCAAAAUGAGCUGCUUCGAAAAUUUGGUAGCUAAUUUUCUUGACAUUCUCCCACUUCAAUUGUCAUAUUGCUUACGUCUCUGCUAGGUCACAAGCAAAUCUACUCCAUACAAACUUGUCAACAUUGAUUGGCUUGGUAAAACAUCUGCUAGGUUCUCUUUAGUAUGAAUUUUCUGCAAAUCCACACUUUCGUCUUCCAUUACAUCUCAAACAAAGUGGUAUUGUACCCCUUGUGCUUUGUCCUGGAAUGAAAGGUUGGAUUCCUUGCAAUGUGCAAGACACUCUGACUGUCACAAAAUACAGAAAUUUUCUCUUGUUUGUGUCCGAGCUCCUCCAAUAAUCUUUGUAUCCAAAUAGUUUCCUUGCAAGCUUGUGUAGCUGCCGUGUAUUCUACUUCUAUUGUAGAUAAAACCACAAUGGUCUGUAGUUUUGAAACCCAACUUAUAGCUCUUCCUGCAAGUGUAAACAUAUAGCCAGUAGUGGAUUUCCUUUUAUCAAGGUCUUUUGUAAAAUCUCAAUUCAUUUAGCCCCUGACAAUAAACUCUGAUCCUCCGUAACAUAAUGCAACAUCUGAGGUUCCUCUGAUGUAUCUCAAAAUCCUCUUCAUAAUUUUCCAAUGUUCAACACUAGCAUUCGCCAUGUGUCAACUAACUACUUUUAUUGCUUGUGCAAUGUCCAUUCUAGUACAUAUCAUCGAACAUUAAACUUUCCAUUGCUGAUGCAUAUGGUACUCGAGACAUUUCCUUGCUCUCUGCUUCAUUGCUUGGACAUAUACUUGAGGAUAACUUGAAAGUAAUAGGAAGUGGGGUAUAAAUUGGCUUACAAUCUUGUAUGUUGAAGUGCCACAAGAUUUUCUCAAGUAAUUCUUCUGAAAAAGCCAAAUCUUCCUAUUAUUUCUGUCUCAGUAAAUUUGCAUCCUUAGAAUCUUGCUUGCUGGUCCUUCAUUUCAAACUCCCUAGCCAAUUGUGCUUUUAAUUCUUAGACUUGAUCUUUGUUGGGGCCUGUUACCAACAUGUCAUCUAUGUACAAUAGCAAAAUGAUGAAAUCAUUAUCUUCAAACCUCUUGUAAUAUGCACAAUGGUUUGAACUAAGUCUGUUGUAUCCAAGCUCAUGAUAAAGGAAUUAAAUCUCUUAUACCAACACCUUUGCACCUGUUUGAGACCGUAUAGAGAUUUUUUCAACUUGCAAACCAAAUUCUCUCUGCCCUUUUCAGCAAAACCUUCGGGUUGGAGCAUAUAAAUUUCUUCUUGAAGUUCUCCAUGAAGAAAUGCAAUUUUCAUAUCUAACUGCUUUAGAUGUAGGUCAAAUGUAGCACACAUCGCCAAGAUUAAUCUGACUGUUGUAAGUCGAACCACUGGAGAAAAUAUCUCGUUGAAGUCAAUUCCUUCUUUAUGAGCAUAUUCUUUUACCACCAAUCUUUUACAAUACCGCUCCAUUUGUUCAUUGCCAUCACGCUUGACCUUGUAGACCCAUUUAUUUCCAAUGACUUUUCUUCCAUAUGGUAGUAGUACAAGUUGCCAUGUUUUAUUCUUGUGUAGAGCCUCAAUUUCUUCCUCCAUUACUGUCAUCCACAAAGCAAAAUCUGAGCUGCUUAAAGUUUCAUAGAAAGUUAAUGGCUUUUUAUCCUCUAUCAGAAGACGGCAUGCAACAUUGAUCUUUGUGACAUAAUCUGAGUGCCACAUUGGCGAUCGUCUCUCACGAGUUGACUAACGAACUUCUCCAGCCUCGGACUCAACUGGUUAUUGUUCCUCGUGCUCUGGUGCUGCUUCAGAAGAAUCUGAAUCUUUUUUUCCAGAUUAUUUUCAACAUAUACCAGCACAGUCUUUGACUUUUCUUUUACAGUGCUAUCAUCUUUAUCUCUCUUUGUAGUUGAUCAUCUACAAAGAUAACAUCUCUGCUAAUGACUAUCUUGUGGGCAGUGGGGUCCUACAGACGAUACCCCUUUCUCCAUUAGCAUACCCCAAGAAGAUACACCCAUAAAUUUUAUAUUCAGCUUUAUUUUUUCUUGGGCAUUGUACAUCACGUACACAUGACAUUCAAAUGUAUAUAGGUGGGAGUAAUCAGUUGGCUUUUCUGUCCACAUCUCCAUCAAUGUCUUUAACCUAAUUGAUGUGGAUGUCAAUCGAUUUACUAUAUAACAAACAAUUUUGGCUGCUUUUGCCCAAAAUAAGUUGGGUAGACCAGCAGUCCUCAACAUAGCUCUUAUUAUUUCUAUAAAAGUUUUGUUCAUCCACUCUACCACUCUAUUAUGUUGGGAAGUGUAUGACACUGUGAACUGCUUCUGAAAAUCUUUUUGCUUACUUUAUGCAAUAAACUUGUCAUUUGUAUACUCUCCACCGUUAUUUGUCCUCAAGCACUUUAUCCUCUUUUUGAAUUCAAGUUCUAUCAGCAUUUUGUACUAUUUGAAUACUAGAAACACAUAUGAUGUUUUCUUGAUUAGACACACCCAACAUCUAUUGAAAUAAUCAUCAAUAAAAGGCACCAAGUACUUUGCACCUCCCAUGGACAUGUCUGGUGAUUCCUAAAUAUCAGAAUGAACCAAGUCUCAAAUGCAUUUACUUCUAGCAAUAGAUCUGCUUAACUUCAAUCUAUGCUGUUUACUUUUAACACAAUGCUCGCAAAACGAUAAGUUUACCGAUUUGAGACCUGGAAGCAAUUUUUACUCAGAGAAAAUAUUCAAACCUUGUUCUGACAUUUGGCUAGGCUGGAAAUGUCACAUCAUCAUCACUCUUCUCCAUUUGAUGCGACACACACAUUAACUUUCUGUAGUGUUUUCCCUUUAAGCAUGAAUAAAUUAGCACUAAUCAUUUCCGUCUUCAUUAAUACAAGUGCACCUUUGACUAUCUUCAUGAUCACAUUUUCCACAUGAGUUUUGUACGCAUGACUAUCUAUUUGUCCUAAGGAUAAUAGAUUUUUAUUCAGGCCAUUGACAUGUCGUACCUCCUCAAUUGCGCGAACCGUACCAUUAAACAUUUUUAUUUUAACAGUGGAACAGCUCUCUCCGAGAGGUCAUGUGUUAGGUAGCUCUCGAUUCUAUAAGCCAGACAUUAUAUAGUUGUUUUCUGCCUUUUAAAAUAGUUGUUGCCUUGCUGUAGAGAAUUUCGCUAUCAUUUAAGGUACUUACUACACACCCCUGAGCAUUUGAUGAUACAGGAACUAUACCCUCUCUUCUCUUCUAGUUGUUCCAAUAAUCUUUUUUGACACACCAUUUCUUACCACAAUUGUAGCAUUUGACAUUAUUCUUACUUCUUGAUUUUGAUCUACCAUGAUUGUGACUCCUAUUGGGACCACGUUCCGUUGGUCUCCCUCUUAUCACCGAUAGUACUUCCACUUGUUGCGAACUUGCUUGCCUAUCUUCCUUAUUUUUCCGCAUGCUCUCAUUUAAUAUGGAGGCUGCAACAUCAUCGAAAGCUACACUGUUUGCUUGGUUGUUUGUCAGAUUAAUGAUGAGUUGAUAUGUGAAAAUAGAGUCUUCAAGGUGUUGAUAUGGUCGAUCACCGAUGUAAAUUUCGCUAUUCGAAGAGGAUAAAGUCUCUACUUUAAGAAGAUCAUAUUGUGCAGUGACUUGACCUCGUACAAUUUUGUAAGAGUAUCCCAUAUUUCCUUAGCUAUCUUUUUCUCUGCCAUACUAGAUAACAUCCCAUCUGCAAGUGCCAGGUGUAGAUCAGCAAUUACAUUACCGUCCAUCUCAUUCUACUUGUCAUCAGUUAUAUUUGUGGGUCUUUCUCUAAUUGUUGCUAAGCAAUUAGUUUUCCUCAAUACAACCUUCAUCUUCAUUUUCCACAACGAGAAAUUAUUUUCGCUGAACUUCUCAAUUUCAUAUUUUACUGUCAUCACUUUUUACAAUGAACUACUUUAGUUAGAAUUGGCUCCCACCAUUUCACGAGAACAAUAACUAUAUAUAUGAACAAUGUCGUAUAUAUGAACAAUACUCUAUAUGUGAACAAUACCCCGACUCUAAAAAUACAACCAGUAGCUCUGAUAUCAGUGUUAGAAAAUCUAUGGUUGAAGCAGGGGCACAACUAAAAUGAAAUUGGAGGAAAAUGAAGAAUAAACACGCACAGAUGACACAAAAAAUAACGUGGUUCAGCUUUUAGCCCACGUCCACGGACGAAAAUAGAAGGAAAAUAUUUUACUAGUGAAAAGCAGUUACAAGUAUUGUAAUAUUUUAACUCACUACCCAAAUACCAAUAAACUCAAACUCUCAAAUCACUACGAACACAAGAGUUAUUAAAACACAUGAGUUAUUAAAACUCUAUACUCUCAAUUCUUAGCUCUCUAUAAGGAAGAAGAAAAUGAGAUAAAGAAAUUGGAUGCCAAAACCAAAUGGGGAGCUCUCUUUUUAUAGCCAAAAUUGGCUAUUAUUUUAUUUAUUUUUCUUGUCAAAAUUUGCUACAACACCACUAUUUUUCUUACAUUUUGGCUUCUUCAAUGUCAAAACCGUGUGCUGCCAAUUUUACUUCUUCAAAGAUGCUGCAGCUCUCUUUGAUUUUUCUUUGUCCAAAAUGGGCUGCUUCUAGAAUUUAGCAGCUACUUUUCUUGACAUUAAAUAAAUAGAACACUCUAGCACGUUGUUAUAAUCAUGUUGCAGAUAGAACACUCUAACACAUUGUUAUAAUCAUGUUGCCUUGACCUUAUUUUCUUGAAGCAUGUUGACAAAUACAAUAAUGUGCAUUUGGAGGACUAUUAUGAAUAUAAAAACAAUAGAAAGUAUAAAUGACUAAUAAUAUACAUGACUUUAAGUGACAUGAGAUUUUUAAAACUAAACAAAGCUAACACAAGUAUAUGAUCCUUUCAUUAUAAUAUGUCGUAAAAUAAAAACUACAUAAUAUGUAUUUCUUUUAUUUUUUUAGUUUAAUUCGUUCAAUUUCUUGCAGUAACUAAAAACACUUUAGAAUUAUGUUAAGAUCAACCCAUACAAAGAAAAUAUCCUAAGUACUCCGAAGUAAUAAGCAACAUACAUAUGUGUGUGUGUUGUACAAUUUAAUAUUAUUUCAACUAGCGAAAUUUAUUGUGGAAGUCAUAAAAAUUAAGAAUGAAGAAAAGGAACCAUGAACCCAAACCAGAACGCAAAAAGUAGUCAUAUUUUUUCAUGAGGGAAUUCUAACCUGCCAAUCCAUGUGUUUAGAAUAAUCAACGAUGUUGAUAUUUCUUUAUAAUGGUCCUACAGUGAACAGAAACAUGCAGAAUACGAGUCAGGGUGUAUUGAAAAGAAUACGUAAAAACUCUUUUAAUCCCUAUAUUUUGAGGUUAGUAACCUAUAUUUUUAAGAAUACCUCAAAACUCCCUGCAGUUAAACUAUUGACACAUCUGCCUUUUUAUUUUUUAUUCCUUUUAACUUACUUCUAUAAUAUUACCUUUUUACGAUAAUUUUUUUGGACAUUAAUAAAAAGAAAAAAAUUAUCAAUUUAAACCUAAAAAUGAUACACACACACACACACAUAUAUACACUAAUUUUUCUAAAAGCUCACAUAUUGUAAAAAAGUAAUAUUGUAAAAAAAAUUAAAUUACGAACUUUUUUGGACAUUAAUAAAAACAUAAAUAUAUUAACUCAUCAGUAGAAUGCUCUAAAUUUAUUUUUUUGGAUUAAAUUAAUAAUUUAAUUUCUUUAUUAAUGUCCAAAAAAUAAACAUUAUUGUGAGAGAAUAAUAUGUAAAAGCAAGCUAAAAAGAACAAAAAGUAACGGCAGGGGUGUCAAUAAUUUAACAAUAGAGAUGUUUUGAGGUAUUUCUAAAUAUAUAGUGACUAAAAAAAUACUAACAUAAAAAUAUAGGAAUUAAACGAGCUUUCAUCCAAAGAGAAUCCAUGUAUAGCCGAUUUUACUAGAAUUUACAAGUAAAAUGCAAAUACCAUUAGUCUUCUAAAACACAUGCAACUUUUCAUCAACAACCUGAAAAAUACCAUUAGAAGAGAUACUUGUACCAUUUCCAUGGGAUCAUCAAUCUCGAAACAAAAGAGUUUUUGUGAGGCAACAUAUCAGCAUGUAAAAUGCCACUUCAUUAACUAGUAGUUGAAAAUGACAAGAAGAGCAUAAGAGAAAUUUUAGAAUACCUCUAAAGUACCAUUUCAUCUAUGCAAUAAGUAAAUAAUUAAGUGCAUUUAUUUUGAAGAACCGACAAGUAAUUAAUGGUUAUACAAAAUUUAAAUACACAUGUCAUAUAUGUAUUAAUUGAUUAUAUUAUCUUUUGGGUGCUACUAAGUUAUAAUUACUGUAACUUACAGCCCUUCAAAAUAAUGUAAACAGUUGUCAUAGGUGGUAGGACCCGUAUGAUUAUAAAAGGAAUUGUAAAUUACAGCAGCAGUAACUUAGCAAAAUCUUUAUCUCUUAUGCAUUUUAGAAUUUCUCAUGAAAGAGACACAACAUAUUUCACUUUUUUUCUUCUUGAUUUUACUGCAUUACACUAAAGUGUAGCACAUGAGCCACAUGCAUAUGAAAAUUUAGACUAGUUGGUGUAGGGCAUGUUGAGGAGUCAGAGCCUUUCCUUUCUGACACAAUGAUAACAUAGUAUAUCAGUGUGCAGUACAUAAGCACAUGCGCAUACAAACUUAGACUAGUGGUGCGAGGCUUGUUCGAGGAGCCUCUCUUUUUUUCUUUUUUUGACACAAAAUGAAAAAAAUUAUUAACCAUCAAAUUACAAUUUGAUAAGUCUGAUGAAAGAUUAAAAAAAAAAAAUAGAAAUACAUGUGUCUAACAAUGUACAUUUUAGUGUCUUUAUCAUCGCAAGUCUUGUAGGCAAGAACGACUCAACCAAUUUUAAAGUCCUAGGUGAAUUGUACUAAAAUUUUUAUUUAUUUAAGAUCAAUGUUUUCUAGCUUUCUGAAAUGUAAAAUUAUUAAUCAAAUUUUUAUGUUCUAAUUUCAUGAAUAUAUUUUUCUCAAUAAUCAAUAUAGCUAAUCCAUUUGUUCUCUCUUGCGAGAUUGUUAAUUCUAAAUAUGUUUUUAUAAAUUUUAAUUUUAAAAACUUCUUUCUACAGAAACAAUUGUUAGUAGUACUAUUAAUAAUAUUCUAUAUGCAAUCUAUGCAUUUGAGAAAGAAUCAAUUUGUUUUCAAAUAAUUAAUUAGUAUUUUUUCACCUUGAAAUACUUCAUUUAAAAUCUCAACUCUUAAAACAAAUAUUCACCAUCUAUAUCAGAAAGUGUAUCAUGUUUUAAAGUAUUUUCGAGAUUAACACAAUAAAUAUUUAAAAUGUAGUCAUUUAACAAUUGUAAUUUUUUGAAAUUAAACAAAAAUCCAACCAUAUUAUCAUAUAUUUGAAAUUAUUCACAUAUAGUCUUAUUGUAGAAAUAACUUGAUCUACUAUAUAUAUAUAUAAUAAUUAAUUCUAAAGGACUCUUCAACAGACAAAAUUUCCUCUUCACUAACAUUUUCAUUAAAUUUGUUUCUUUUUCUACAAAUUAUACUUUUUUCAUGAAAUUUAGGUUCUAUUUCCAUUUCACUUGCAAGUUCUCUUGCUGAAAUCAGAGCAGACAUGAAUCCAUCUUUUCUAUUUCUUUCAAAGAAAGAAAUAAGACCUUUAAGCUUAUCUAUGGCAAUAUCAGUAUGUACGUAUUCUUUUUGCAAGAUCAUACUUUGUAAUACCCCACCCCGCUGCUUUGACUAAUUUUGACUUGCUUUUUUAUUAUAUAAAAAUGUUGGGAAAAUAUGCUCUUUAAAAGCAUAUGUGUUUAUUUAAUUGUAAUAAACAAAUUUUCUGAUUAAUAAAAUAAAUGAGGUAUUUUAUUCAAAUAUCUUAAUUGCAUUAAUAUUUGUAUUAAAGUCCAUUUAAUCAUAUUAUAUGUAUUUAUGUGAUCACCAUGUGGAUUCACAGAAUGAAUUUAUUACAGUCUAUACCUAAAUAAAGUGCCCAACUUUAUUUAGUUCACAGAAGAUAUAAAUACAAGUUAUCUUAUGAUUAAAUAAAUUUAGUUCGCAGUUGAUAAAAUAAAGUUGGGCACUUUAUUUAGGUAUAGACUGUAAUAAAUUCAUUGAAUGAUUUGUCUUAAUCAUAUAUGAAUUUAUUACAGUCUAUACCUAAAUAAAGUUAUCUUAUGAUUAAAUAAAUUUAGUUCGCAGUUGAUAAAUAAAGUUUGGCACUUUAUUUAGGUAUAGACUGUAAUAAAUUCAUUGAAUGAUUUGUCUUAAUCAUAUAUGAAUUUAUUGAUGUAGUACGACUACAUUGAACAUCAUACUACAUUGAACAGGAUCACAUAUGAGAUUUAAUUAACUUUGUAAUAACUGUCAGACUUAUUAAAUCUCAUAGGUGUUGAUUUUACUGUAAUCUUAAUCUUGAGUUAAUUAUGAUUUCAUGAUUGUAAUUGUUAUUCCAUUUGAGUUACUAAUGGGCACGGCACAUCCUUGUGGUCAAGAUUACCCGGUAUUUUGGUGGGAGCAAUUAUGAGUAUUGGAGUUAUGGAUUAACAAUAUAGAAUUUGUACAACACAUCUCUUGAUGGGUUUUCGGCACUUGAUCAUAGAAUUCUCUGGCCAGAGUGUGUCAACAUAUUUAGUAUGUUGAAAAUGAUCAUUAGAGAAAACCAGUAAGAAUCAAGGAAUAAGAUAUUAUUAAAUUGAUUGAACAGUUGAGAUAUCAAUUUAAUUAACGAUGUGGUACAAAGGAUUGUGCAGUAAAGAAAUCAAUGUGGCUUGGACCGAAUUAUUAUUCGAGCAUACAAUUAUGGAAGUCAGUACCAAUCUUUUAGUGGAGUAGAUUUGGAAUUAAAUAAUUGGGCUAGUUUAAUUACAGGCUUAAUUAUUGUAGCCACUAUUGUAUGUUCCCAAAUGAUCCCCGGGUUAGUUCAUUUAAUUGAUUGCACCACUACUAGACUAAUAAGUAAGAUAACUAGCUAUUUGGGUCAAAAGUCUAAAUAUAUCAUUUAGUGGGAGGCUCUAUUCAAUUAGUUUUUGUGUAAGGGGCCUUAUGUUAUUUUACAAGGUGGGUCCCCUAUUAAAAAAGCAAAUAACGUGGGUUUUGUUUUUCGAUUAUUUGGAGCCUAAGGUUUUUACUAAAGGGAGAUAUAAAAGGCUUAUUUUUCUCUAAAGAAAAGGGUGAAGCUACUUUAUAUGGAUCAGAGAAAAUGAUUUUUCUCUCUAUUGUUGAGAGAAAAAUUUUCUCGUGCUAGUUGCUUUGGUAGUGAUAAAGGCGCCCACACGUCAAGUGCAGAUCGAACCUGAGUCAUAACCUGGAAGAUCAUUGGUGCCAGUUCGUGUUCUAACAAGCGUGGUGGUGACGGAUCGUGAUCUAACAGGAGUGGUGGUGACGGAUCGUGAUCUAACAGGAGUGGUGGUGACGGAUCGUGAUCUGGGAGCCUAAAUCAUUUCAGCAGAAAAAGCUAAAUCAGAUUUUCAAGGUACGAUUUCUAGAUUACAAAUUCUUAUAUAUUAUAUGAGAGCGAUCUUAAAAAGGUUUUAUAAAAAUUAAAAAACUUGAUUUUUCCCCAACAAAAAAAAGGAAGCUGGAAAUUGUUUAAAGAAGAGGAAGCAUAUUCACACGUGAGAAAGAGAGAAAGCUGCCAAAACCGACUCGGAAAACCUAACCCAUGAACCAACCUGGCCACCAUUUCUCGUUCCCGACCACCCCACCAGCAACGGGAGGUACCGAUUAGAAGCUUUAGAACCAAUGGUCACUUCCCCGCCAUUGUUACCGUUGAAUAACGACCAGAACGCCGUCAUUUGGGCUCGCAAAACUUGCAGUAUUUGCCACCUCCAUUCACCGUGAUUUCGCUGGUUUUGGGUGACGCCACCGACUGGGUUCGUUCCUCAGGUCACUACCUUCAUUUUUUGACCACCCACAUCACCAAAAAUAGUUGAUUUACUGCCAAUCGACCGCCAAAGUGUUCACGGCUUUGGGAGCUCAAUCCGGUGCCUCCGUCGCCACCGUUGGAUUCAACGCGACAUGAAGCUUCUAUCCCGACCUUUCCCAUCACCACCGUAUGAAUUUAGAUCACCGUUGGUCGAGGAGAGCAUUUUAGUAAUUUUUUAGAAUUAGAGGGUAAUUUCUUAAAUUUUUGAUUUCAUGAAUAUUUCAGUGAUUUCUGAUUUGAGAAUAAGAAUCUAAGGGUAGUUCGAUAAAUUAUGAUUUUGAGGAUAAUUUGGCAACUUGUGAUUCUGAGAUUUCAGGGGCAUUCUAGUAAUUUAAAUUUUGGUAUUUUUGUAAUUAAUUAUUCAAAUUGAGAUUAAUUGAGGUUAAGUUUAGAGGGUGUUAUAUUGAGGAAUUUGAGAACAAUAGAGUUUAUGAUUUCAUAUGAUUUUAUCUUAUAGGAGUAUUUUUUAUUGAUUUUAGGUCGGUGAUAUCGAUACAUAUUUGUUACUUGAGGAUGCUAGAAGGUAAGUAAACUAGAUUUCUAAAUGAGUCAUAAUAAAUAAUAUGUACAUGUUUGACAUGUUUGAAAAGCUUAUUUUGAUAUAUACGGAUAUGGAUUUAUAUGCUCUGCCCAUGUGUUUAUAUGAUGUGUUAAUAGGAUGUAUUGUUAUGUGUUAUGUGUGUUUAUGGACAUGGACAUAUGUCUGUGUGUAUGUUUCAAUGGCAUUAGCACAAAAAUGUAUUAUGUUUUUUGUGAAAUGAGAAAGCGGAUUUUAGCCAAACGGAAUUGAAAGAAAGAAAAUCUUACACUAUGUAGUAGCAAUCCUUAUGAAUUUCCUCGAGGUGAUGAAUGUUUUCGUUAUUCAAAGCUAGGCCAUACAUUAAACCAAUGUCCAGAACGAAGACAACAAAUAGUCAAUUUGGAAACUAAUGUAGAGGAAAAUGGAAAGCCUAAGGAUGAACUAUAUAAAGACAAUGACGACAUAGAAAAGGAGGAAGAGUGGACAUAUUGAGACAUAUGAGUAUCACUAGUAACACAACAUUCGUUAUACACACAAAAGAAAGACGAAGACACUCAGAGACAUAAUAUCUUCAAAACAAGGUGCACAAUCAAUGAGAGGGUAUGUGAUGAUUAUUGACAGUGAUAGUAGCAAGAAUAUAGUUUCGAAGAUUAUAAUUGACAAGUUACAGCUUAAAACUCACAAACAUCCUUCCCCUUAUUGCAUUAGAUGGAUAAAAGAUGUUGGAGAGAUCAAGGUUACUCAACAAUGUUGUAUUCAUUUUUUCCAUCAGAAGACAUAAAGAUGAAGUUACUUGCGAUCUUGUUGACAUAAAUGCUUGCCAUUUGCUUUUCAGGAGACCUUGGCAAUUUGAUCUUAAUAUGGUACAUUAUGGGAAAGAUAACACAUACAGGUUCUAUAAAGACAACCUAGAAGUUAUCCUUGCUCCGAUAAAGUCAAAUGUCAAGGGAACUUAUCUUUUACUACAAAAGAGAUAGCUGAAGAAGAAUCGAUGCCUGAAUAAGUCCAAUCGCUACUCUCAUAAUUUCAGGAUAUCGUGCCUAAAGAGCUUCUUAACAAGUUACCUCCUAUGAGGAUUACCUAUGACUCAAAUUAAAAGAGAACUUCUAAUGGUUUGCCCUUACAAGUCUACUAUUUUUAGAAGAACCAUACUAAAAAACAAGAAGAAAUUGAAGUUUUAGUACUUUUGAGUUUUAAGAAAAGUUGAUGCAAAGUGCUACACUUUUGCAGUGCAAGAUCAAUUACUCCUUCAUUAAAAGAUUUAUCCUCUAGAUUGUCCUUUAUUUUCAGCAAAACUUGAGGACGAGUUUUUUUUUUCGAAGAGGAGCAGACUGAUGUUGUAACACUCCACUAAAAUAUCUAUUUUAAAAAUGUUUAAAACAUAGUUAAAUAUGAUUUCUAAAAGCUUAACACAACAAACAAAAUUUUCUUCAUAAAGUAAAAGUCAUACAGAGAUUUAAUAGUUUAUUUCAAAACUUGAUUAUUACAUAAAGCUAAUAUGUUUAAUUUUUAUUUAAACAAAGCUGAGCCCAUCUUAAAAUCCCAAGGUCUGUUAUGCCCAUAUGCACUUCGUCUUGCUUAGGACUUGGCGCCAGCUUGCCUUACUCAUCAUUAUCUGCAAUGUAAGGACUUUAUGAGCUAAUGCCCAAUAAGAUAAUACUUUUAUGAAUGUAUAAAUUAUGAUGCAUAUGGAUGACCAUCUUAAGCUUUUAAAAUAAACUUAAAAAAUACAAAACAACUUCAUUAGGGCCCUAGGUAUGUUGCACUACAAGGUUGGCACUUUUACUCUUUUAAACAAUAUGCCUUUGGGCCUCAUUAGUUGAUCUUUUAGGCGUUAUGUAUCGCCGUCCCCAAAAGAUUUUUUAUUAGUUAGCUUUAAGGGCUUGCCCUCCUUAGAAACUUUGCCACCUGGUGGUACAACCACUUAUUUUUCAUAAAUUCAUUUUCUGAAACGCCUUCUUCAUAAUGUAAUCCAUGAUAUGCAUGCAUUCAAUGCAAAUUAUGUCAUAAUAUUUGAAGUUCCUAAAUGCAUAAAAGAAUCAAUACAGAACACUAUUUAAGAACAAGAUUCUUUAAUACAGGUGGCACAACCGACCAUAACAUAAAUAAUUAUAAGUAUCACAGAUUAGGCGACAGAGCCGACCAUAACAUAACUAAGCAUCGUAAAUAGGCGGCAGAGUCGACCAUAACAUAACUUAUCAUCGUAGAUUAGGUGGUAAAGCUGACCAUAACAUAACUAAGCAUCAUAGAUUAGGCGGCAUAGCUGUUGGUUAAUUUAACUCGAUUGUUAUUGAUGUUAAUGUGCAAGUGUACACAACAAUUGUCAAUUUAUACAAAGUUGCUUGUAUUAUUUCUAUCUGUAGGUUGGGUUAAAGUUGAUAUGGAUGGUGUACAAAAUGAUAAAUUUCACUAUUAUUCAUUCAUAAUAAAGUUGAUUGACUAAUAACAUUAACAACGCAAUAAAGUAACGGCAAUAAUAAAGUAAACUGAACAGCUUGCACAAAUAAAAUUCAAUAAGGAUAAAGUAGUUGAAUGAUCAAACUCUCUUCAUGGGCUGACUGUUUUGUUUAGACUAACACCAGUUGGUGCAACAACUCCUAUAGCACUGGGCAGACUUAUGCAACCUAACAAUGACCAGUCGUUAUAUUACGAACAUAUACUCUCUUUACCCUACAAAGUGAAUCAUUAUAUCUAUGUCAUCACAAAUCUUAAUUCAAGUGUGGCCCUCUUGAGACUCAAGUUAAACUCAAUCUAGAAAACUUAAAUUAAGAUCAAAUAUUACUCUAAUAAUUUCCAUUGAGACAGACCCUUUUGUGGCUCUCUCUUAACUUGAACCAUUAAAUGAGAGGUCAAUCGAAACAAUGAUUGUAAUACAAGCUAUUAAAGCAAAAUGCUACAGCAAUGUUGCAGCAACUCAUAAGAACAGUCAAGAACCCAUUUAGAUCGUUUGUCACUCAUAACUUGUAAAAGAAAAACAAACAGCAAAGUAUCAGCCAUGAAAUACAUCGUUUUAAUCAAGGAGUAAGUAAGGGGGCAGUAAAGAAUGAUGAAAAUUGAAUCCAAAUAGUUCUAUAGAUUUCUUCAAUGGUGCAGACUUGUCUCUCUUGAAUUCUGCUCUUUCCUUAUUUUCUCUUGAUUUCUUCGAUGUUAAUUCACCGCCCCCUUUCUAUAUGAUGCGUGCUCCUUUUAUAAUUGAAAAUUAGAGUAAACGGAAGCCUAGGGCACGCAUGAGUCAGAUUAGAAAACUGCAGAUCACGAUUCUCCAAGUAUCCUACGUGGAAUUUUCUCUAUCAUUGUUCCAAGAUUGCUACAGCAAUAGCUACUACAGCAACGGCUACAACAACUGCACUGUUCCAGAUUUGUUUCAAGUCUUUUGUGGCUAAGUUCUUUUCCAUCUUUUACAAGCCGAUUGCAUCAGCAUUCCUUCCUUAAAACUUGAGCUUCCGAACACCUACAAUUACGCACACAAUCUAGGCACAAAUUAUUUUAAAUCAAACAAAAUUUAUUACGACUAAACUAAAAUGAAUGUUUAUGCGAAAUAUAACAAAAAUGCAAUAGAACACAACAUUUACUCUCUAAAUAAUAUCGAUUUAAGUCUAAAAGUGCAUUGAUAACUCUCAUUUCCUAGAGUUAUCAAUAGCCGACCAUAUAAGAAUUUAGAUUAUAACUAAUAACAUCAUAAUAGCCAUCACAACAUAAGGAAAUCGUUAAAACUGAAGUUAAGUAUGAAAAGAAUUUUGUCCUUACAUUGCAGUUGAAGUGUUACUUACAUCUUGGCCUUGACUUCUCUAGACAUUUCUAAAUUAAGGAUUUCUAUACACUUGAUAUUAUGACUUAGAAUAGAAUUCAAUUUUGGCGGGAAAUUAUUUAUGAUAGAAUAUAUGAUGGCUUUUCCAUCAUAAAGUUUUGAUUUUUUUCUAAAAUUAUAUUAUAAUUUAUUAAUGAAUUCCUGUUUACAAAUUUAAUUAAUUAAUAAAACAAAUAUAAUAAAAAACUUAAUAUCAAUUAACAUUCAUUCAAUCCAAAAAUUAAUUUAAAAAGAAAUACAUCUAAUAUCUAAUGUGAUCUCCACCAAUACAUAAUAAAACAUCCCAAAUUGAAAAAGUCAUCCCAAAAUAUAAAAUUGCAGUCAAAUUCCAAUCAAACUCUAAGAAAAGCAAUAAGAAUUCCGGCCACCAAGCCAAGUUACCCAACAAAACUUCCAAAGAUUAAUGCAAGUACUCCAACAAUAAGAUUUCUAGCAAGACUUCCUGUAAAAAUUCCAGCAACAAUAUCAUCUUUCGACAGCACUCUAAACGAAAAUUGAAACUUACAAAGCGACCUACAAGCUUCCUGUGAACAAAAUUGAUUCAAACACCAAGCAGAAUAAGGAAAAUUAAGAGGCUGCAAUACAUGUGGGCAUCAAAUAUAGUAAUCCAUUUGAUUUAAACUGACUUAACUUUUAUGGAAUGAGCAAAAUGUACAUACUCAAUGGAUUAAAAUUACUUUUAGUGAAUGGGAAUUCAUCAAAAUCAGCAAGCUAGCUAAAAAUGCAAAGGAAGCCACAACAAUAGACCAGUGUAAGGAGACAAAAAUAAAUCAUAAAGUCAUAAAAAGCAAUGGCAUCCAGAUCCAGCUGAACUGAUCAACCAAUGAAAAGGAAACCAAACAACCAACUUUGACAAGCUUAUCUCAACCAACAGCACUAAUUCUAGGCCUGUAACUUGCCUACGUAUUUAAAAUAGCAAAUAGUCCAAGUUUAACAUCAAUUUUGACAAGAAACACAACAAACAGAAAAUGUAACAAAAACCAAAUCAGAGGCUAAGCAACAUACUGCAGCCAUUAUGCCACACAAGAACAUAAAUAUUGCAAUUUGUAGUAGCCCUCCAAGAACAGCGACAUGUCCCACUGCUUUUAACUGCAUUGAUGAUGAAUUAUGGAAUUGGAACAAAUUUUAUGAACAAAGAAGGAAAAUGUUGUCAAUAAUUAUCAUACACUUUCCAAGCACAGAAUGAUUUACCUUUUGUCAAAGAAAACUCUAGCCCCAAAGCAAAAAGAAGGAAGACAACACCAAAUUGUGCAAAAGUUUCAACCUGUGAUGAAUGAAACAAAAAGGAACUUGUUACCUAGAAUAAUGAUCGCAAAAUAAACAGAAGAACAAAUACACCACAAGAAUCUCUACCAGAUAAUAACUAAUAGUAGUUUACUGAAUAUCUACCAAUUCACUUAGGCUUAAUGAGCUAAAUGAAAAACUUUUCAUCAGAAAGUUAAUAUCAUAAUGAGGGAUUGAUAGUUAAAAAACUGGAAAAGUUAAAGAGGAACAUAUUGUUUUUUUAGGCCAGGUUUUCUUCAAAAUCUCUUGAUGUGAAAGUUCUCAGCUUUCACAACAAAAAACUAAAUUUUGCAGUGAAGUAUUGUUGGACCGAUUACCAUAGGUUUUAUCAAAUCAUAACUAAAGCAGUACCAUAACCAUUCUCGAAUUAAUUUACUCACUCAGCAUUAUAUCACCUUUAUGCAUCCUUUUAUAUUCAUCCAGUAUACUUCCAAGAAAAUCCUGUCAAAAUAGCGUAUGAACUAAGUGUCCCGAUACACAUUACCAACUAGCCAUUAUUUAUUUGUUUAUUUUCUUUAGCAGUAACUAGAAUAACUAUAGCUAGAAGAAGAAAUAAUCAGAGUGCCAAUGCAUAAACUACAGAAUAUACAUUCUACACCAAGAAAUUGAUUAACUGAACUAUUUACAAUCCUGAAAUAACCCAAGGUCAAGAAACGGCUAAAUAUGCUUCAAGACCUGAAUCUUACUAGCCCAUGUCCAUAAAUUGUAAGCGAAAAUCAUUAAUAUAUUUUUAAACAGUACUUGUAAAAUAAGUGUUCCAAUUGUAACUUGACCAUGAAGAGCAUUAUUGCUGUUCUGUUCUACCAAAAAUUUCACCACCUAGCACAGGUAACAGGAAAAGCAUGAACCAGAUAGAAAUUCACAAGUGGAAGCCAAGAUGAAAAGAGGAAUUCGAUUGUCAAAAAAAUGGUGUAGAAGAAUACCACUGCAGUUGAUGACAUAUAUUACUGGUUUUUUUUUUUUUUACAAAAAGGCUUUAUAAUAUAUAUAUAAAAAAUUGAAAUAAAAAAACUAGAAAAUAAAAAACAAAGCAAAAUAAAACAACCAAAAACCUAAAUCCCCAAAUAACCAAAUUGCCUCCCUCAGCCGCCCUCUCUCUCACGCGAAGCAACAGCCAAAAACCUAAAUCCCCAAAAUCACUCACCCUACCAUCCGUGAAGCAACAACAAACAACAGCCGACAGGCACACCUUCACUGCCUCACACACCUAAACAACAAUUACAGCCAUCACCCAUCAACAACCCAGCAGCACGCGAUGCAGUAGCGACCCAACAGAAUCAGCAGCGUGACGUAGCAGCAGCCACUCCCACGCGACAUAGAAGCAGCCACUCGAACCCCGCGCGACACAGCAGCAAUAAACCCAGCAUUUUAAUACUACUAGCAAAAUGGUGUCGACAGCAAUGGGCUACAAUUUUUAAACAACAUUGCCGGCAUAGUUACAAUAUAAUUGAAUGGCGGCGAAAGGAUGGUGUUUUGCUCGGUCGAUUGAGUGCAAGGUUGAUUUCUAGGGUUUGGCCAUGAGAGAGUGAUGAGUGUUUGGGUGUGAGUGUUAGUGAUUUUGGGGCUUGGUGGGUCAAGACAAUAGUGUUUUUCUUUUCUCUUUUUUUCAUUUUUGAAUUAUUAAAAUGCACCUUUUUUAAAAAAUAAAAUAAAAUAUUAAACUUUAGGUCAAACAUAGUCAAAGUAAAUUUUUUAUCAUAAUUUCUUGAUAGAGAAAAUUUUUAUCACGAUUCUAUCAUAAAUUUGUGAUAAACAAUAAUUAUAUCACAAAACCAUCAUAAAUUUGUGAUAGAAAAUAAUAUUGUCACAAAAUCAUCAUUAAUUUAUGAUAGAUUGAAAAUUCUAUCACGAGUCUGUCAUAUUAUUAUGAUAUAAGUUGAAUCUGUCAUAAACUGUCUGUCAUCUAUUAUAUGUUUUCUUGUAGUGAUUCUCUACCGCCAGAACCUCCUCUAAUUUCUGGCGACAUCCCCACUAAUCAGCAGCCCUCACAACAACUAUUAACACUUCAAACCAUAAACCUUAGACUGCAACAAACCUUUCAAAAUAUGCUCCACGCUUUCGCCACAUUGCCUGCCUCAAUUGGUGGCGAUUACUUGCUGACGGAACCACCAUUGAACCUUAUGUACUCUAAACAACUGUCAGCAGCCUCUCACCCUCCAGCUGCCACCAAACCCCUCAGGCACCAGUACACACGAGCACAACCAAAACUCAGGCACCACUUAUUGCCCACCAUCUGUGACUCCUUUUACCGAGACAAAUCCCCCUAGUUGCCAUAUAUCUCACCAACACCUCGCUAUCUCCCCAUUGAACUUUUCAAGAUCAAAUAUGGUGGUAGCCGUUGUAGAUCCAAGAUCAGCUAAAUACCUAUCUCUGAUACCAGUUUGUUAAGUUCUGAACAAAAGAAAGUCUUUCCAAGAUUGAAUCAAACCAAGAAAAUAGAAACUUAUAUAAACCAGAACAACGAGCAAACAAGAGAUUAAAAGAAAAGGAAAGAAAAAUAACAAGAUCAUAUAACGUGGUUCAGCAACAAGAUGCCUACAUCCACAGUUGAAAUCAGGUCUGCUUUGAAACUUUAUUAGAAAGAUAUGAGUUAUAGAAGAUUAUUGAGAUUACAGAGAUUAAAUCUUCUCUAUUGAGAUUUUUUCUCCCUCUCUCACAAAGACUAUCAUAUCAUCACUCUCUUGACCACAGUCUGCACGCUGCAAUUCCUCUUAUAUAUCUCUUAAAGAGUAAAAGCAUGAGUUGUCAUACAUAAUAACGACUUUAACAGCAGAUGGUCCCACUAAUGCCAGCUCAGCACGCCACCUUAUUCACUCUUAAAAUAAUAUAACUACGCCAGGCCUCACAGAUUUUUAAUUAAAAAAAGCAUAAAAAUGACAGUUGAAAAAUCGAUCUAAAAUGGUAAGACAUGGGAAGUUUUCCGGAUAUUAAAAUAUGAAGAAUUUUCUCAUGAAGGGCCUUGCACUUCGAUCUUUUGCUGCCUCUUAACAUGUUGUGAACAGAGAGUGCUUCUGAGUGUCGCUCCCAUUUUACCAAGAUGAAAAAUUAGGGAGGAGCAGAGUUCCCGCAAAACAGCAUAGCUGUGAUAAGUCUUUCGCGUUGCAAUCCCGUAGUAAAAGUUCAUUUGUCUAUGACCACUUUCAUACCUCCUCCGGCUGGUGGCCUUUACUCAGGGGUGGCUUUAGGUAUAGGCGAACAAAGCGGUCGCCUAAGGUCCCAUAUUUUGUGAAGGCCAUAUUUUUUAAAUUUUUUUGAUAAUUCUCAUUUUUUUAAGUUACGUAUUUUAGGAAAUCAAAAAGCUUAUUAAUAUCUCUCUAAUUAUUAAUUAUCCUACAGUUAAGAAUUAAUUUUUUAUGAAAAAUCUAUAUUUGAUAACAUUAAUGUUAAAUAGAUAUAACUAAUAAUAUUAUUUAAUCAUUAAUUCAUUCAUUAUUAGUCUUUCAAAAAUAAAUUAAUUAAUUAUCUUUUCAAUUUCCUCAAAAAAAUUAAUUAUUUAAUGUUAGAAUAUUUGACUUUUAGUAUUUCUUUUAAUUUCCAUUAAAAACUUUGUAAUCUCAAAAAUCAGUAAAUAAAAAUUUUUUUUCCUCACUUCUCUAAAAAGAAAAAUAUUAUAUUCAUUGGUUCAUUUAAAAAAAUCAAUUUAUAGAAAUACAAAGUCCAUUUCUAUUAUCUGAUCAUUAAUUUAUCAUCUCAACUUUUUAUAUUCUAUCAUUCUAAAUAUCCUAUUUGAAAAUAAUAUUAUUUGUAUUUAUUUGAUUGUUUAUUUUGUAAUAAUUUUAAUGGAAUAAAAAAUGUCUUCUUAACUUUUUUUUUAGGUUUUAUUUUUAAAAUUCAAGAAUUACAAAUGAAAUAAAUUUUGAGCUUUUUUUUUUAUUUCUUUGAGUAUUGAAAUUGCAAAACAAAUAGAGGCCUCAUAAAAAAAUUUCGCCUAAGGCCCCAAACACUCUAAAGCCGGCCCUGCCUUUACUAUGCAUGUCCAUCAUAGUCCGAUAAGCAAGCAUAUAAAAUUUUAAUCCGGACUAAUUCGUCCAAUUUCCUCAUAACAUGCAUUACGCUCUCCAUAGCACCUGCUCUGCAGUAGGCAUAAAGCAUGCAAUUUAAAUCACAUUUGUCAUGCUUGACUUCAAAAUACCCAGCCAAUUUGCCUCUUCAACAUCAACCGGACCACCACGUCCUAGUUCUUCCGGUUCCCUCAAUCAACAUCAACCGUUGAUUGUACGAUGCUUUAAAUCCUAUGGUUAUUAUUUUUUUCCAUAUUUUUAAUUUCAUGGGGUUUAUCAAUGGAACUGGUGCGUAGUAGUCGUAGCCUUAAUUAAUUUAGAAUACUUUUGAGUUGCGUUAACAGGCAGCAGUCACAAUCAACUUCAUCGCUUUGUAAAUUUCCAUUACCACAGAGUCAACAGUCAGGCUCAUGAAAAGAAAUUAUUUGUAUUUUUCUUAUUAGCAUAAAAUAAAUAAUGAAAUAAAAAUAAAGAUUUUAAUAUUUGAAUUUUGAUUUAAGUCCUAACUUAUGUGUAGCUAGAGGCGAAGUUUUGAGAGGACUAGAAAGAUUGAACCCAAGUCUCUACCCUCAUAUUUUAUAAACACAGACGACAUUGUUGGAUAUUUGUUUCUAGAAAUGAAUAUGAUAAUAGAAGAUAAUUAAAAUGGACUAAUCCAACAAUUAGGCGCUCCUUCUUUAAGCUAACCCAAUAAUUUGGAACUCAUUUUUUUGUUAUAUUUACUUUUUUAUCCUUGUAACUUUUUUCUUUAAAUGCCACAGCUCUAAUUUCUAUCCUCAUUUAAUUUAAAUGGGUACGAUUUGUCAAAUGCGAUUUAAAUGGGUGGUGCAUGUAUACUGAAAGUAGCCCUUGUGCUUAGCAUGCUAUGAACCAUGCUUGAAUAAUCGAGUAUAACUGCAUCCAUCCUCAUCUUGUAGGAAUUGGAAUGAUCCUGACUUAAGAAUAUGCAUAUACUGACGACUUUUAUUCUCAAUAAAAGCAACAUAUAUAAAUAUCAUUUUCUUUUCAUUUAUAGACCUCGAUGAAUGGGGGAGUUUAUUAUAUUAUAGAAAAGCGAUCCCCCAAUAGAAAGAAAAGUCUGGCCAACAUCAACUGAAACUGCACUCUGGGAAUUCAUCAGCCUUUGGUGCUGUGAAAGCCAUGUGUUUGUCCUCCAAGGGCAUGGGCUGAAAAAGCCAUGUAGAAGCUACAUCCAUAGUCUCUUGGUUUUGAGCACCGUGCCCAUCUCCGUGUAGAUACAUAAAAUGGGACAUUCUCACAAGAUUCAACAUGAAGUCAACUGUAUUUUGAGAUAAGGGAGAAUCUUUAUCAGCUCUGUAUGCAUUCACCUUCUUCCACAUCUGUCUCAUCAUAUCCUUGAUGUGUUCACGAGCAACUUCCUCCGAGGCACCAGUUUCAUGCAUGUAACACUGGAUUGAUUUCGGAACAUCCCCUCUCUGUAUCUCAUCCUGAUGAAUUAUUGGGGAAAACAAUUACACAAUCAAUUCGUGUAUAGAGGAUUAAUUCAAUUUCUAUCUUCUUAAGAAUCAAAAGAAAAUAAAAGAAAACAUACCGACGAAGUUCCCAAAUCAUCUUGAAGACGAAAAAUCUUGCAUGACCAGCGAACGAAAUCUGGAUUGCUUUCUAGAAAUUCUAGUUCCUUCUGAAUGAUUGGAUUUGUACCAGAAAGGUACGCACUCAUUGUUACUAUAGGGCCUGCUAUUGACACCAAUCCAUUUUCCAAGAAUUCUCCCAGUGUUGGUGUGUACUUACUAUGGUACCAUUUCGCCUCCACUAAGCCGGCUUGUAUUAAGCCAAGCCACUGAUGCACAUGAAAUAGAAAAUAAAGCUAGUUACAAUUUAUUAUUUUUGAGACAAAAACAUCGUAAUUUAAAAAGGAUAAAUCAAAGGAACGGAACGGCGGGAGAGGCAAAAUUAACAUUUUACAUACUGAAUUUUUAAUACUCCGAAGCAUAUCAAAAUCCUGUUGUUUGAGUACGUAAUAAGCAAAUUCAUUAACAAAGUUGUAAAGCGCAAAAAACCACAAUUUCAUGUAGUCCGGAAGGUGGUUCAAAGCAUAAUGGAUGUCCCACCUGUAGAAAAGAGAAAAAAAAUAUUAUAAAUGGUCUACUAAUUUGAGUCUUGAGAAGUAGCAGGCACCUAGCUUGCAAUUGAAUCAAUCGAUUAAAUAUAACAUUAGUUUGCCAACAAACCUCUCAACAGCAGCAGUGAAUAGCUCAAGUUCGUCCAAAGUUCCAUAAACAUCAUAAAUGUCAUCAAUCACUGUAAUUAGAGCUAUUGCAAUUGUGACUGUUUGGGAGAAAUACGUCGACGAGACCAGGCAUGGUGAGCAGAUAUCUGAUGGCAGAGUUCUGCGAACCGGUGUGUUCCGUAAAAGCCUGGUGCGCGGGGGAACAGGAGCAAAAAUAUCCUGCUCGUCCACGAGCACGUCAUCCGCGAGGCAAAUUUCCUGUAAGAGGCAUAAGGCCAUUCCGGCUAGAGGUCGAGAGGCGAGGAGACCCGGUCGACGGCAGUAGGCAAGGCAUGCUCUCCAGCCCGAGAAUCUAGGCACGACAGCCACGCUUUCCCCAGAACCGUGGCGUAACACGCAAGAUCCCACGUUUGCCCAUAACGCAGCAGUCGGAGUCCCAUACCGUCCCCCAAAAAAGCGGAAACAAGAUCUCACAAAACCACGACAGCCACGCUUUCCCCAGAACCGUGGCGUAACACGCAAGAUCCCACGUUUGCCCAUAACGCGGCAGUCAGAGUCCCGUACCGUCUCGAAGAAAGCAGAAAACUGGGAUUCAAAGGAAGCCUAUAAAAAGGUAGCCAACGAAGGUAAAUGGGUUAGCAUUUUUGAGAUUAGAAAAGAAAUUCUAAAAGAGAGAAAACAACCUAACAACCAUAAGAUUUGUGGCAAGUGUUCCCCGAACCUUCAUAUCUGACUUGAGCGUCGGAGGGUUUGCGCCGGGAAAACAACCGGCGUACUCUGACCUGUCUGUGUGCGCAGGAACCUCUGGAGAAGAAGCCUUGCGAGGAGACCCCCUGGUCGUGAUGAAGUUGAUCGAGCAGAGAUCCUGGUCGUAGAACGAGGAGAACCGGAAUCUCGCAUCAACAUUUUGGCGCCGUCUGUGGGGACCAGAGCAAAAAGCUUCUGUUGAUAGCAAGAAGAGGGGUGAAGCAAGUGAAAAGCAAUGGAGACAGGAGGAAGUAGUGCACAAGGGGGUGAUAGGAGGCUUAACGAUUCCGUGACGCUGAGGGAGAUAGUCAGUGAAGCACGGGGAAAAGUCAUGUUCGACCGGAUGGAACGGAUGGAAAAGCAAAUGGAGACCUUGACAACCAUCCUGCAUGAGCUGCGGAGCGAGCGAAGGGUAACCCAAGAGGGAAGGGUGAGAGGCGGUGGAGUGGCACCAGGUCCCGAUAGUGCGGGGAGAAGUCAAACCACUGGGAGAUUUGGUGGUGAGAGAGGUAACGUACCUCUGCGGGGACAAUUUCAUAGAGAAAGAGAGCAGUCCCCGGCAAGACAGACUGGUGACGAGGACGACGGGGUGGUGAAUGCAGAGGAAACAGAGUUGAGGCAACACUUGCAUGAUGUAGAGCAAGAGUGGGAUCAAGUUGCAGCACGUGACCCUGGUCGUGCAGUGCAGCUGGAGGAGGAAGUGCGCAGACUAGCGCAGAUAAUUGACGACAUGCAAGGAAGGAACAGAGCCCCUGGUUGGAGGAUAAUGCUGGACGGAGAAUCACCGCUCGCAGCAGAGAUCAUGAGGGCAGUUAUUCCGAGAGAUUUCCGCCUCCCAGACCUCAGAUACUCGGGAAGAACUGAUCCGCUGGUGCACAUAGAGCGCUUCAACGACAUAACUGGGGUACAAGGAUUAUCUCAAUCCCAAAGGUGCAGGGUGUUCCCACUAUCCCUUGAGGGACGUGCACGAGAAUGGUACAGGAAACUCCCUCGGGGCAGCAUUAAAACCUUCGAGCAGAUGUGCCAGGAGUUCGCGGAGCAGUUUAGUGGGGCAAUGGCACCGGAAGAUGACAUGAUGGAGCUGAAAAGCAUGAGACAGGGGGAGCAAGAAACCCUUCGGGAAUUCAUCGAGAGGUUUCAUCGGACUGUCCUCGACUUGGGAGCCUUCAACCACCCUCAGGCGUUAAGGGGAUUGAAAGAAGGGGUGAAGAUAGGAAGGCUGUGGUACAAUUUGAGAAGCCCAGCUAUUCAAACGUAUGCAGCCGCAUACGAACAGGCUAAGAGAGACAUCGAGAUUGAAGAGGAGAAGGCUGCACGGAUUAAGAUAGACCAGUUAGAAGGGUUGGGGAGGAAAGAGAAGAAAGCAUUACCGGGGAAUGGGCUGAUCAGGAGAAGGGACCACCAUGCCUCCGGUAGUGGAGCAGGAGGUCGGGUAACCGCUUACCAGCCUCAUCAGAGGCCACCACAGUAUCAGCGCAGCAGGGCGCAACCUCCUCGUUCCCCAGCUAGGGAGCCUUGGAGAAGGCAUGAGUCGGCAUCUGGUGGUCUUCAUCAACAUCCCCACGGUAGCAGAGCGAGCAGACCAGAAAUACUUCCACCGCCCCCAACUCAGAGCGGGGCAAACAGAGAAAGAGCAGUGCACCUGAUCGACCAGAACCCGGACUAUGGGCGGUACACUUCCUUGAAGAUGUCCCUGGAUGAGGUGUACGAGGCCAUAAAGGAUCGAGGGCUGCUGCACCUCCCUACACCAAUAACAAAGCUACCCAACAGGAGGGAUAGAGGACGUUAUUGUAAGUUCCAUGGCACCCAUGGCCAUACCACAGCAGAGUGUAGAGAUCUCAAGACCCAGGUCGAAGAUUUGGUGAGAAAUCGGUACCUGGACGAGUUUAUGGAUGGGACUUUCCCGAUGGUGGCCACAACAGGUGAAGGGGAGCAGAGUGGUAGAAACUUGAGGCGCGAGCAGCCCGCAGUGAGGGUGAUAGCUGGGGGCCCAACAUUGGCCGGAGAUUCCAACAGAUCGAGAAAAAAUUAUGCUAGGUACGCCAUGACCAGUAAGAGGUACUCUUCAACACCCCAGCAGCCAAACGAGCAAGGGUCAGGCAAGUGCCAAUCAUGUGGACGGAUGAGGAUGAGGAAGGGAUUCUAUACCCCCACGAGGAUGCUUUGGUCAUCAAGGCUAUUGUCGCUAGCAAGAAGUUUGACCGGAUACUGAUUGAUACAGGGAGCUCAAUUGAUGUGUUAUUUAAGUCAACCCUGGAAGAGAUGGGAAUAGCCGACCGGAAGUUGGAAUACACCAAUACCUCCUUGAAGGGGUUCGGAGGAGGGAAGCUGGUCCCUCUGGGCGUGGUCGAGCUGCCUAUCACAAUUGGGAGCUCCCCGACAGAAAGAACAAUGGUACUGGACUUUGUCGUAGUGGAUGAGGAAGGUCCUUACCAGAUGAUCCUAGGUCGGCCAUUUUUAAGGAUGAGCAAAGCGGUGUUGUCCAACCAUUAUCUAGCUCUGAAGUACCGGGUGAAUGGGGUAGUAGGAGUGGUACGAGGAGACCAGAGGAUCGCAAGAAGCUGCUACUCCUCGGCAGCAAGGGAAGCAAUGCAGAUAACAUCCCUCGAUACCCGAGUGGAAAACAAAAAGGGCAGACAAGAACCUGUAGAGGAUCUGGAAACGGUAAGCCUGGGACCAGAGAACCCGGGAAAGACGAUCAGAAUCGGGUCGAGACUUAAGGGAGAGCAAAAGCAGGAGUUGGUAAAAUGCUUAGAGGCUCAUGCUGAUGUGUUUGCUUGGACACAUGAAGACAUGCCAGGGAUUGACCCUGAGGUAGCAUGUCAUAAGCUGGCAAUAAAGAAAGGUGCUCGGGCAGUAAGGCAGAAGAGGAGGUGCUUCAAUCAGGAGAGGUAUGAGGCUAUAAAUGGCGAGGUGGAGAAGCUCUUGAGAGCAGGGUUCAUUCGGGAAGUCAGUUACCCUGAGUGGAUAUCGAAUGUGGUGUUGGUAAAGAAGGCAAACGGCAAGUGGAGGAUGUGUGUGGAUUUCACAGACCUCAAUAAGGCGUGCCCAAAAGACAGCUUCCCUUUACCAAAGAUCGAUCAGCUAGUAGAUUCAACGGCUGGACAUGGUCUGCUUAGCUUCAUGGACGCGUUCUCGAGAUACAACCAGAUCCCCAUGUACGAGCAGGAUGAGGAGAGCACGGCUUUCAUCACUAACCAAGGUCUGUUCUGUUACAGGGUUAUGCCAUUCGGUCUCAAAAAUGCUGGGGCCACCUAUCAAAGGCUGGUGAACAAAGUCUUUAAGCCAUUGAUUGGGAAAACCAUGGAGGUGUACGUGGAUGACAUGAUCACCAAGUCCAAAAUCCCAAAGGAACACGUCAGACACCUCGAGGAGACAUUCGAGCUUUUGAGGAAGUAUAAGAUGAAGCUCAACCCGGAGAAGUGUGCUUUUGGGGUGGAGUCAGGGAAAUUCCUUGGAUUCAUGGUGAGCCAUAGGGGGAUUGAAGCAAAUCCCGAGAAAAUCCAGGCGAUUGUGCAAAUGACGUCUCCUCGUAACCUGAAGGAGAUGCAGAGCCUCACGGGGAGGUUGGCGGCGUUGAGCAGAUUCGUAUCCAAGGCUACAGAUAAGUGUCAGCCAUUCUUUCAAGUGAUAAGGAGGGGAAAGAAAACGGAAUGGACCCCAGAAUGUGAGGAGGCCUUCCGGAACUUGAAGCGAUACUUGCAGCAAGCUCCGCUGCUGUCCACACCGAGGGAGGGGGACAAGUUAUAUCUGUAUUUGGCGAUAUCGGAUCGGGCCGCCAGUUCUGUUCUGGUGAGAGAGGAAGAAGGAGUUCAGUAUCCGAUAUACUACACCAGCAAGUCCCUGCUCGACGCUGAGACCAGAAUCCCAAUCCUCGAAGAAUCAAAGGCAUGCAAAGGCUCGACAAAGUCUCAAAGCCUGUCUUAUGGCGAGACAGAAGCCAAGCAUGCCAGGAUCUGCUCGACCACGAGAAGGCGAGCAGACUCCAAAGCAUUCGAAGAAAUUCCUGAGGCAUGCAAAGGCUCACCAAGUCUCAAAGCCUGUCUUAUGACGAGACAGAAGCCAAGCAUGCCAGGAUCUGCUCGACCACAAGAAGGCGAGCAGACUCCAAAGUAUUCGAAGAAAUUCCUGAGGCAUGCAAAGGCUCACCAAGUCUCACAGCCUGUUUUAUGGCGAGACAGAUGCCAAGCGUGCCAGGAUCUGCUCGACCGCGCGAAGGCGAGCCGAAUCCCAGGCAUUGAAGAAUCUUCAAAGGCGUGUGGCAAAACCAUGAGCAAAGUCGGAACCUGCUCGUCUAGACAAAGACAAGCAGAUUCUCAAACGAAAAUCAGCUCAUAAUUACAACACAAGAAACAUUUUACAGCGCCGAAUCCCGAGGGUCUCAUAACCGUCGGUUUGAAAUUCAAAUGGAGGGGGGGAUUUCUGCCACGUCACCUCGUCCGCAAUUAAAUGCGACGUGAUUCUUGGCAGCCUUUUCCAAUCCCACGCGAGCGAGUACUAACGAGUUUCUACUGCUGGUCCACUACAUUACCCAACACCAGAAACUGGGGGACCGGUGUUUGGGAGAAAUACGUCGACGAGACCAAGCAUGGUGAGUAGAUAUCUGAUGGCAGAGUUCUGCGAACCGGUGUGUUCCGUAAAAGCCUGGUGCGCGGGGGAACAGGAGCAGAAAUAUCCUGCUCGUCUAUGAGCACGUCAUCCGCGAGGCAAAUUUCCUGUAAGAGGCAUAAGGCCAUUCCGGCUAGAAGUCGAGAGGCGAGGAGACCCGGUCGACGGCAGUUGGCAAGGCAUGCUCUCCAGCCCGAGAAUCUAGGCACGACAGCCACGCUUUCCCCAGAACCGUGGCGUAACACGCAAGAUCCCACGUUUGCCCAUAAUUAUAACCAGAAGGUGAACAUACGGCAAUUCAGGGUCGGAGACUGGGUACUGAGAAGAGUGAAUCAGAGCACCAAAGAUUCGACUCAAGGAGUUCUGGGACCGAAUUGGGAAGGGCCAUAUAGAGUCAAGCAGAUAGCGGGACCCGGAGCUUACAAGCUGGUUCGCACGGACGGCCACGAGGUGAAACGCCCAUGGAACGCAUCACACCUCCGAAAAUACUUCCAGUAAGACUUGUUCACAUUUGAAAGCUAUUUUUGCUCAUGCUCAUUAUCGUUUAUCUUUCACGCUUUAUGUCCAAACAAUUUCAUGUAAGUCGAAUCCUGCCAUUAAUGGAACGUCGAGGAAUUUCUUUCGCUUGAAACCGAGAAAAUUCCCAAGGCAUGCAAAGGCUCAUCAAAGUCUCAAAGCCUGUCUUAUGGCGAGACAGAAGCCAAGCAUGCCGGGACCUGCUCGGCCACGAGAAGGCGAGCAGAAUCCCAAUCCUCGAAGAAUCAAAGGCAUGCAAAGGCUCGACAAAGUCUCAAAGCCUGUCUUAUGGCGAGACAGAAGCCAAGCAUGCCAGGAUCUGCUCGACCACGAGAAGGCGAGCAGACUCCAAAGCAUUCGAAGAAAUUCCUGAGGCAUGCAAAGGCUCACCAAGUCUCAAAGCCUGUCUUAUGGCGAGACAGAAGCCAAGCAUGCCGGGAUCUGCUCGGCCACGAGAAGGCGAGCAGAAUCCCAAUCCUUGAAGAAUCAAAGGCAUGCAAAGGCUCAUCAAAGUCUCAAAGCCUGUCUUAUGGCGAGACAGAAGCCAAGCAUGCCAGGAUCUGCUCGACCACGAGAAGGCAAGCAGACUCCAAAGCAUUCGAAGAAAUUCCCAAGGCAUGCAGAGGCUCAUCCAAGUCUCAAAGCCUGUCUUAUGGCGAGACAGAAGCCAAGCAUGCCAGGAUCUGCUCGGCCACGAGAAGGCGAGCAGCAUCCCAAUCCUUGAAGAAUCAAAGGCAUGCAAAGGCUCAUCAAAGUCUCAAAGCCUGUCUUAUGGCGAGACAGAAGCCAAGCAUGCCAGGAUCUGCUCGGCCACGAGAAGGCGAGCAGCAUCCCAAUCCUUGAAGAAUCAAAGGCAUGCAAAGGCUCAUCAAAGUCUCAAAGCCUGUCUUAUGGCGAGACAGAAGCCAAGCAUGCCAGGAUCUGCUCGGCCACAAGAAGGCGAGCAGCAUCCCAAUCCUUGAAGAAUCAAAGGCAUGCAAAGGCUCGACAAAGUCUCAAAGCCUGUCUUAUGGCGAGACAGAAGCCAAGCAUGCCAGGAUCUGCUCGACCACGAGAAGGCGAGCAGACUCCAAAGCAUUCGAAGAAAUUCCCAAGGCAUGCAAAGGCUCGACAAAGUCUCAAAGCCUGUCUUAUGGCGAGACAGAAGCCAAGCAUGCCGGGAUCUGCUCGGCCACGAGAAGGCGAGCAGAAUUCCAAUCCUCGAAGAAUCAAAGGCAUGCAAAGGCUCGACAAAGUCUCAAAGCCUGUCUUAUGGCGAGACAGAAGCCAAGCAUGCCAGGAUCUGCUCGACCACGAGAAGGCGAGCAGACUCCAAAGCAUUCGAAGAAAUUCCCAAGGCAUGCAAAGGCUCAUCCAAGUCUCAAAGCCUGUCUUAUGGCGAGACAGAAGCCAAGCAUGCCAGGAUCUGCUCGGCCACGAGAAGGCGAGCAGCAUCCCAAUCCUUGAAGAAUCAAAGGCAUGCAAAGGCUCAUCAAAGUCUCAAAGCCUGUCUUAUGGCGAGACAGAAGCCAAGCAUGCCAGGAUCUGCUCGGCCACGAGAAGGCGAGCAGCAUCCCAAUCCUUGAAGAAUCAAAGGCAUGCAAAGGUUCGACAAAGUCUCAAAGCCUGUCUUAUGGCGAGACAGAAGCCAAACAUGCCAGGAUCUGCUCGACCACGAGAAGGCGAGCAGACUCCAAAGCAUUCGAAGAAAUUCCCAAGGCAUGCAAAGGCUCGACAAAGUCUCAAAGCCUGUCUUAUGGCGAGACAGAAGCCAUGCAUGCCGGGAUCUGCUCGGCCACGAGAAGGUGAGCAGAAUCCCAUUCCUCGAAGAAUCAAAGGCAUGCAAAGGCUCGACAAAGUCUCGAAGCCUGUCUUAUGGCGAGACAGAAGCCAAGCAUGCCAGGAUCUGCUCGACCACGAGAAGGGGAGCAGACUCCAAAGCAUUCGAAGAAAUUCCUGAGGCAUGCAAAGGCUCACCAAGUCUCAAAGCCUGUCUUAUGACGAGACAGAAGCCAAGCAUGCCAGGAUCUGCUCGACCACGAGAAGGCGAGCAGACUCCAAAGCAUUCGAAGAAAUUCCUGAGGCAUGCAAAGGCUCACCAAGUCUCACAGCUUGUUUUAUGGCGAGACAGAUGCCAAGUGUGCCAGGAUCUGCUCGACCGCGCGAAGGCGAGCCGAAUCCCAGGCAUUGAAGAAUCUUCAAAGGCGUGUGGCAAAACCAUGAGCAAAGCCGGAACCUGCUCGUCUAGACAAAGACAAGCAGAUUCUCAAACGAAAAUCAGCUCAUAAUUACAACACAAGAAACAUUUUACAGCGCCGAAUCCCGAGGGUCUCAUAACCGUCGGUUUGAAAUUCAAAUGGAGGGGGGGAUUUCUGCCACGUCACCUCGUCCGCAAUUAAAUGCGACGUGAUUCUUGGCAGCCUUUUCCAAUCCCACGCGAGCGAGUACUAACGAGUUUCUACUGCUGGUCCACUACAUUACCCAACACCAGAAACUGGGGGACCGGUGUUUGGGAGAAAUACGUCGACGAGACCAGGCAUGGUGAGCAGAUAUCUGAUGGCAGAGUUCUGCGAACCGGUGUGUUCCGUAAAAGCCUGGUGCGAGGGGGAACAGGAGCAAAAAUAUCCUGCUCGUCCACGAGCACGUCAUCCGCGAGGCAAAUUUCCUGUAAGAGGCAUAAGGCCAUUCCGGCUAGAGGUCGAGAGGCGAGGAGACCCGGUCGACGGCAGUUGGCAAGGCAUGCUCUCCAGCCCGAGAAUCUAGGCACGACAGCCACGCUUUCCCCAGAACCGUGGCGUAACACGCAAGAUCCCACGUUUGCCCAUAACGCAGCAUAACGCAGCAGUCGGAGUCCCAUACCGUCCCCCAAAAAAGCGGAAACAAGAUCUCACAAAACCACGACAGCCACGCUUUCCCCAGAACCGUGGCGUAACACGCAAGAUCCCACGUUUGCCCAUAACGCGGCAGUCAGAGUCCCGUACCGUCUCGAAGAAAGCGGAAAACUGGGAUUCAAAGGAAGCCUAUAAAAAGGUAGCCAACGAAGGUAAAUGGGUUAGCAUUUUUGAGAUUAGAAAAGAAAUUCUAAAAGAGAGAAAACAACCUAACAUCCAUAAGAUUUGUGGCAAGUGUUCCCCGAACCUUCAUAUCUGACUUGAGCGUCGGAGGGUUUGCGCCGGGAAAACAACCGGCGUACUCUGACCUGUCUGUGUGCGCAGGAACCUCUGGAGAAGAAGCCUUGCGAGGAGACCCCCUGGUCGUGAUGAAGUUGAUCGAGCAGAGAUCCUGGUCGUAGAACGAGGAGAACCGGAAUCUCGCAUCAACACUUCUGUAAAAGGCGGAGUUUGCACCUAAGAAUAAUUUAAUAUACAUGUGAUUAAAUUGUACAAGUUAUGUAAAUUAUAAAAUCAAAUCUUUGAUGUGUGUGUGUGUGUGUGUGUCUGUCUAUAUAUAUAUGAGUUAUGCAAUCAAAUGGAUACCCUGAAAUGUCUUUAAGUUCUUCCUGGUAAAUUGCCUGCAAAGUGUUAAACUCCAACUUAGCGAGCUCAAGUAAAAGGUGGUUCUUGUCCUCUCUUUUCUCAUAAACGUGUAUGAACCACCUUGCCUCCAACAUUGGGACUUUCCAAUGCAGAGGGAGCUCCACUGCACGCUUCGCUUGUUCUGCGACAAAUACAUGCUCUUCCUGAUCAUCACGUCUUUAAGAUGUUUACUGGUAAAUUGCCAGGCCUCCUCCAUGAUGCUUUCUCCUUCUAAGCUGUAAUACGAGGCUUUGUGCAAGCUCAGUAUUCCCUUGAAAUCAUCACAAAUGAAGCCUCCCUGGUCGUCUUUUAAACCAUUGAAAACCUCUGCAGCACUCAACCAAGAAACGUUACAUUCGUCAAAAUUUUUGAUACAUCUAUUAAUUAGAGAGAUAGAGAAAAAAAACUGAUUUGGGUUUCGCCCAUUUCUUUACAUUUAAAAAAAAAAGAAAAAAAAACAGAGAGAUCGAUUCAAGUAUUCAGAUCAUGCAUGUGCAUGAUCUGAAGGAAGCGAAUUAAUGAAAUAUACCUUGAGAAACAGGAUAGCCAUGUUGUCUAAGUAGUCUGAAUUCAAGGGAGGUUACAUACAGAUUUUCUUUUCUCCAAUUAUAAUCUUUAUUAUUGUUGUAGAUAUUAUUCAAUAUGUUCCUAAUCUCAGUCUCAAAACGAUAAGCCAAUCCAAGUCUUUGCAAGUUAUCAAUCAGCUCCAACUGAUCCAGAGGCUCGAUUACAUCUUUAAUCGCUAUCUUCACUUUUCCCUUCAGCUCUUCUGCUCGUCUUUUGCAUGCUUCAUCCUGUACACGCACAGCAUUUAGUUUUUAGUUAUUCAUGGUCCCAAUUUGAAAUGAACAAAGGAAAUUAAUACGUAAUAGUAAUAAUCAAUACCGUAUACUUGCUAUUCAGCCACUGCAAAAAAUCAUGGUCCCAAAUUGAAGGUUGGUAGUUUGCUGAUCUCCUAUCAACUGUCAAAUUAUCAUAUUUGGCGCUGACAAGGCAUUGGACUGGCUUAUUUUUGGCCAUGAUUCUGAUGGCUGCUUUAUUUGUUGUAAGAGGAAGACAUUUGAAACCAUUUACAGAGGUAACCAAGGUUGAGGGAUUAAUGCAAGAAGACAUUGGAUAUACAGAUGUUGUGUAAGCUAGCUUACUGUCAAAUUAUAUAUAUAUAUAGGCAGAGGAGAAGUUCAAGUGAUUUAUUUUUCGUGCUCAUUUUUUCUGAGUUUUGAAAGCGUUUAAUUUUUAAGUCUUAAUAGUACAAAGGUAUUUUAUUCAUUUGGGGGAAAAAAAAAGGAGUACAUCAUACUGUGCGAACGAGGUCAUUAUUGUACCAGAAGACACAUACAUCAUCCAUAUAUUCGGAUGAAUGUUGUAUAAUCUUUAUUUAUUUAUCUUUUUUUUUUCCUGCAUACAAAUUUUUUAAAGAGUCUUUCAAUAAACUACACAAUAAAUGCACGCAGAAAUGACAAGAAAUUCAUAAAUUCAAUUCUACUAAUAAAAGUUCUAUUUAUUACAUUAAAAUCUUGUUUUAUGUAGAAAUAAGAAUAUACAAAGUAAAUUUAAGGGAAAAAAAAGGCAUACAAAGUUGCAAACAAUAUCUUAAUGUUGAGCACUAACAUCAAAAUUCUAUCUGUUACAGUUAUAAAGUACUUUUGCGGAAAACAAAUUAAUAAAUUUCAAAGUGAUUAUCAACAAAAAGUUGAUUGGAGAUAAUGGAUUUUAAUAUAUUGUAGAUUGUGAUCAUUUGUAAUAAUUUCAAAAAACUUCCAUUUAACAGCGGUUGGUGAAUGGGUGUUGUAAAAUAAUUUUAAUAUUUGACAACAAGCGAAAGAAUGUUGUUAAAAACUCUUCAAUAGAUGUUCAAUCUCACAACGUUCUACAAAAGCGCGUUGUGAAAAAAUUCUAAUAAUUGACAACUAGUGUAAAAUCGUUAUAAAUUUUUAAUCCCAUUCAAUCCAUGAAUUAGUAAAAUUAAUCUAAAUUCAAUUCAUAAUUCUGCAGAUUAGAAGUGGAUUUGAUACAAUCCAUAUUCAUUCCACUUUUGCGAAUUCGAUACGGAUUUAAAAAAAAAUUCUUUCUAUUCAAUUCAUAAAAUAAUUAAAUAAAAAUUUUAAUUAUAAAAAUAAUUUUACUGCAUGCCAAUCAAAUUCAAAUUUAAACAAGAUCUAAAUAAAUCAAUAGUUUAAAUACGGGUUUAGGAAUGCUAUGUUAAUAGGGUCUUUAUACCGCCACCCCAACAUCUAUUAAAUCAAUCAACAUACGUUUUGAAACAAAUAUAAUCCGGAAGCCAUAUACCAUUUCAGCUUUACUCCCUAUUCUCUCUUAAAUAAAACUAUGAAAACACUGGAGUAAUUGGUUUCAGCUUCGGUGUAGGAUAGGUUGGAGGUGAUGACACGCGACGACAGCUACUGAAAGACUAUUCGUUUUUUAAGAUGCCAUUCAAAGUUUCGAACUUUAGCACACCAAAAUAAAAAAUCCUGAUGUUUCUGGAUCAGUGGAUGAAAAUCAACUUAAGUUUUAGAAUUAAAUCAAUACAAAAGUUGAAAUUUGAAAGCUUAUAUAAUUAAUUGUUGUCAACGUCCACCCUAACUAGAUUUUAACCUAUUUACUAGUAGUAUAACAUUUUUAAAUUUUAAAUUCUUUAAAUUAUAUACACACACGGAUUUGCUGAUUUUCAGGGAUUUGGAGAAGCAAGUCCAUUUCAUCAAUUGUCGAUUUUAAAAUUUUUCAAUCCAUCUAAUCUGUCAAUUCAGCUCUUCUGCUCGUCUUUUGUAUGUUUCAUCCUGUACACGCACAGCAUUUUGUUUUUAGCUAUUCAUGGUGCCAAUUUGAAAUGAACAAAGGAAAUUAAUAUGUAAUAAUAAUAAUAUUGAAUACCGUAUAGUUGCUAUUCAAUGACUGCAAAAAAUCAUGGUCCCAAAUUGAAGGUUGGUAGUUUGCUGAUCUCCUAUCAACUGUCAAAUUAUCAUAUUUGGCGCUGACAAGGCAUUGGACCGGCUUAUUUUUUGCCAUGAUUCUGAUGGCUGCUUUAUUUGUUGCAAGAGGAAGACAUUUGAAACCAUUUACAGAGGUAACCAAGGUUAAGGGAUUAAUGGAAGAAGACAUUGGAUAUACAGAUGUAGUGUAAGCUAGCUUACAGUUAUACUUGGCAAAGAUUCUCAAAUUAUUCUAUGGUUUGUG